rnacentral:lncRNA from 1 species
UCAAUUUGAUCUUAUGAUAAAUUAUUUUCUUGCAAGUUUUUUUAUGGAGAUAAACGAAAUAUUAGACCUUAUUUGUCUUUGAAAAUAAUUUAUCUUGGGAAAAUAUUUUCCAAUGAAUUAUUUUCUAUUAUUUAGUUGUAAUAUUGAAAUUAGUUAAAAAAUAUUAAAGUUUAUAUAUUAUUAUUUAUAAUAUUCAAAGUAUUUAAAAUUAUCAAAAUUUUAUGUUAAAUAUGAUGAAAAAUGCAUAAAAAUAUAAAAUUAUGGUAGUCGUAUAUAAUCCAUGGUGAUGAUGCUGAUUGUGAACGUGAUCCGUGGUGAUGAUUGAUGACCAAUUAUGAUCAGUGGUUGUGAUUACUAGUCAAUAAAGAUUAGAGCUACAAAACUAACAGGUGAAUUCGAUGCCAUGUGCAACCAGAAAAAGCGUUAGCAAUCUUAUCUAAAAAAUAUAUUGUUUUUGAAAAAUAAAAGUCAUUUUUAAAAAAACAGUUUUUUAUUGACCGAUUUUCUUAAACAUCCAUAUAUAGAAAAUCCAUAAAAUACUUGCCAAUAAAUUAUUUUUCAGAAAUAAACAUAGGUUUAGUUGAUAAUGAAACUUGAAAUGUAGACAAAAAAAUUUAUCUGCACGUACCACCUUCAAUAGGAAAAAGGUUCUUAUUUCUCUUUAACACUAACAUUAAUAAUAAUAAUAAUUAUUAUUAUUAUUAUUAUUAUUAUUAUUAUUAUUAUUAUUAUUAUAGCCUAAAAGAGAUUUUUUUUUUUAAAUCUCCUUUCAAAUAAAAUUUUAUUUACAUUAUAAAAAAAUUCAAAAACAAAAAUUGUUUUAUGAGAAAAAAAGGGACUAAUUAAUUACCUCUUUUUACUUUUUUACACCAUUUUCAGAUAUUAGCAUUACAAUUGUCAAUUCUUUCAAGACUCAAAAACCUUGGGACACUUCAGCUAAAGAUUUUCUGAUGUUCAUAUUCUUCUAAAUAUCAGAAAAUUAAUCAGACUAUACUUAAUUGGCUACCAUAGAAAGUCACACUAUAAUAUUCAUUUUUUCUUGAUUUAUUAAAGAUAGAAUGGACUUAUUAACAUUAUCAUAUUUUUAAUAAUUUUCUCCAAAUUAAUAAAAAUAGAAAGAGAAAUUUGAAAUUGUGGCCUCUAUUUUGCAAAAUAAAGAUAAGGAGACCAACACAAUUAUAUUUGACCUUCUCAUUCAUAAUUAUAUUCACUGCCAAAUAUUAAGACACCAUGCUAUAAAUUAUUUUUUUUUUACAUAAAAAUUGUGUUAAACCAUAUAUAUAAGACAGGGUAACUUUGUUCUCCCAUAUCAUAAUCAUAAUUUAUAAAAUAUGAUUAAUUACUGUUGCUAGUUUUGUUAACUCUUUUAUAAAAUUAGUUAAUGAAUCAACAUAUUAUUACUAGAUUUUAAUAUAAUAUAUAUUUUUUUAAUAAUAUUUUAAGGCUUAAGAAAGCUUUACUUUGUUAUUUAAAAAAAAAAAAUUUUUUAGUUAUUAAUUACAAAAAGAUUGCAAAGGCUGGGCCUUAAAACUAUAAACUGGAUAUGGACUGGGCGUCGCGUCGUCAAUUAAUAACUCUCACUUAAAUGCAAACAAUUAAACUUAGAGAGCAACACAGCACGCCCCCUCCCUCCCCCUUUCUCUCUUUUUCUUUCUCUCUCUCAAGCAAUGGCGGGAAAGUCUAUCACCGGCGACGGAUUAACUGAUAACCUUGCCGGGAUGACGAAAAAUCAGCUCUAUGACAUUAUGUCUCAGAUGAAGGUUCAUUCUCUUUUCAUUGUCUUUCUUUUCUUGAAUUUUAUUAUCCUCCAAACAACACUUAUUUUCCCGUAACGUUCUGUUUUCACGAUUGUUUGGCGUAUGUGUUUGUUUUUCUUCAAUACAGACAUUAAUCGAGCAGAACAAGCAACAAGCAAGAGAGAUUCUCAUCCAGAACCCUCUUUUGACUAAGGCACUUUUUCAGGUAUUUAUAAUUAAAUCUUUGUGUUUUUGUUUUUUUAUCAAAAGGAGAAAAGUUCGGUAUUUUUUUGUCGUUGAGCAUUUUUCGAAUUACGAAAAUUUUAUAUUUUUGUGAGAUUGUUAGUAUUUUUUUGCAUUGAUGCUCUGUAUUAUGUGAAUUUCGAUGAUUUUGUUGUUGUGAUGAUAUAGAGUGGAAUUAGGGUUUUGUUUCUCUUUUUAUUUUGAUUUAAUUCAAUUCAGAAAAUCUUCUCCCUCAAUGUGAAAAUUUAACAAGGCCUUAAUUCUUUUAAUUAGCAUAGUGAUUGUUUAUCUGAUCGUAGAUGCAUUUAUCCUGCCAGUUGCUUUAUGUUUUCAAUGGGAUUAGCUACUCUGAUAGUUUGGAGUUCAAGCCAUCCUUCCCUUUUCCACACAGGAAAAAAAGGGAUGAUGAAGGGAUUACCUUGCCUAAAUAAACAUAGGGAUUAGAUUAUGAUGAGACCAUUAGUGUAAAUUAGGGUUCUAUUUUACAAAGGUUAUUUUCAACAAUGGUCAACUUAAUUUAGCACUUGAUUUCAGCAUUGUAUCCACACUUUAUUCUGAUGGAGAAAAAUUGCCCACUUUUAAUUUGUUUCCAUAAGGUCAGUGUUGCCACGAUUUGAUCAGAAACUUGCUGGAAUCUGGCCCAGCAGUCUGUAAAAUUCCUAAUUGAUGACUUGAGUACAUAUCAUAUCUGAGCAUUUAAUUAUCAACCUCCAUAAGCUGCAGUGUUGUUUUUUGACAAUCUGUAUCCAUAUGAUCUACUGUAUUUGCAUCCAUCAAUCUGAGAUGUGAUUUGUUGUGAGAUUCGGACAUCUUUCUGCUCUUCUGGUUGUGUAUUCGUUUGACUUAAGGCACUAUUCCAAAUAAAUUUCUAGGACCUUUAGGCUUAAUUCAUAUCUGCUGAGUGAAAGCUUAAACAGGGUUUUGAUAUUCCUUAUUGAAAACAAAUACACUAGUUAUUACAAAUUCUCUUUUUUUUUUUUUUUUUUUUUUUUUUUUUUUUUUUUUUUUUUUUUCUACCAACAAAAAUUUGUUACUUUUAAAUUGUAGUGUUGCUUGAGUUUCAGGAUCAUCACUGUUAGGUUAAUAGUAUUGCUCGGGUUUAAGGAUCGUUACUGUUAGGUCAUUACACCUGCAUGUUGUAUCGAUUACACUAGUUGAAGCCGGACUUAUUUUAUUAUGUUAGCAUUGUAUAGGAUUGAGCAAAACAAGCUGAGGUUUGGCAUACCUAGGCUCGGCUCAUUUAUUAAACAAACUUUAAGCUAGGCUCAAAUUUGGUUCAAACAAGUUGAAUCCAAUAUCAUUCAAGUUUUGGCUUGUUUGUUAGAUAAGCCUAAACUAGUGGAGAACUAGUUUAGCCUUCUCUAUAUAUGUUAUAAACAAAAUCAUCGCAAAUUCGUUCAGAAUUAAAAUAUUUAUUUAGGAAAUUGCAAUAGACUUGGUCAUGCCUGUUCUUUUUAGGAUCAUAAUAUAUAAUAGGAUAUGUAACUUUUGGUAGUCAUGCUGCAAGUUAUUCGCUAUUAUAAAGAAAAUGAGUAACCUACUGCCCAAAGCAUCCUACAGUUUUUUAUAUGCUACUAUACACAUGUGUGUGUGUGUGUGUGUGUAUCUUAUUUGGUUUCUAUCACCUAAUAAACACUGUUAAUACGUUCUCUAUGCUGUGGAUAUCCUGCAUGAGCAGUAAUAAUUUCAGGCAUAAGCUUACUUGUAGGCUUAUACGCUACUUUGUUCAUGUGUCUAACUGUGCUGAGCUUCACAGAUCCUAAGCCUAGCAGUUUGAAGUCUGUGAACUUGGCUUAUUAACGAAACAAAUGCAUUCAAGCUAGGUUUUAUUGAGUUAAACUUCAAAUUAGCUCAUGAGUGGUUUGUCUAAUUUGGAAGCCGUUGUGUCUUACAUCUCAUAAUUUCUCUUUCACUCACUCACUAAAUGCUACUCGGUUUACCUUGUUUAAUCAGGCACAGAUUAUGCUUGGAAUGGUGCAGCCUCCUCAAGUGGUAUUCUCGUAACUUUGAGAAGUUUGACUCUCUAUGUGUUACCUUGGUGAUCAUAUGUUCUAAUAACAAUGUUCUUGUAGAUUCCAAAUAUCCAACCGGCAGCACCACAACAACCUCAGCAAUCAUCACAACCACCUCAACAGUCAAACAUUCAGGCUACACAACCGUUACCUGGACAAGUUGCUUUACAGGAACAAACAGUUGCAUCUCAGACCCAACCACCAAUGAGAAAGCAACACCAGAAUCAACCUUCAAUGCCAAUGCCGUCUACUUCAGCUCCUCCAAGUCAUCAGUCUCAGCCUAUGCCUUCACACCCUCUACAGACACCACAGUUGCCCAAAGGACAUCUGAAUCCACAAGUGACGCCAAUCCCUGUUCCACAAUCCUCUCAACUUCCAAAUGUAGCUCCACCUCUUCAUUCUGCUCAACAGCAACCGCCACUUCAUCAACCCCAAAUGUCCACAGUCUCUACUCAGUUGCAACAGCCGUUGCAGACAACUGGAAUUCAUCAUAUGCCAUUACAACAGCCAUUGCCACCACAAGCUAGAGUAUCUUCUGUUCCGAGCUUUCAUCAUCAAUAUGGACCGCAAAUGGGACCCAAUGUUGGUUUCCAACAUUCUGGUGCUCAUCAACAUCCUUCACAACCUAUGUUUCAUGUAAGCUGAAGAUUUUGGUUCUCAAGCAAUUUUUCAUAGUUAUUUUGCAUAACUUCAUUCCUUCCAAAUUUUUCAGUCUAGUAACAAACCUCAACCUAGCAUGGGACCAUCAUUUCCACAGGGACAGCUACCUAUUCCAAGUCAGUUACCACCACUAUAUCAGGUAUGUUUGCUGAUUUCAACUCAUGGAAUCAUUUUAUGUUGUUACACCAUCUUAUCAGUUGGUUAUGCUUGAUUCAUGUGGAGCUUGUUGCUUUACAAGGCUCUCUGAUGGGCAUAGUUAACCCUUGUCACUUGACUUCCCUGUUUGUAUAUGUGCCUUAGCAUAUUCAGAAAUUGUUUGUUAUGCAUGAGAAUGAUGUUCAAGCCUGUAACUCGUGCUAAUCUAGAAUGACAAAGUGAUCAUCAACAGUUGCUGAGCUAUCUGCCAAUAUUGAUUCAUUGAUUGCAUGCCUGUUAACAGUUUUCAUGGCUAAUUGAUGCGUUUGUCCAAAUAGGAACAGGAAUGCAUUUAGGCUCGAAAUUUCUGCUUGAAUUUAUUUGUUUAAAUUUUGAACCUUUUAUGAUUAUGCCCAAAAGUUUAUGUGUGAACAGUGAAAAAAGAUGAGUACUGUGACUCCUGAGAUGAUUUGUAAUUGUGUGAUUUGCUAAUUCAAUUGAAACAACAAAGUUUUAUCUAAUUGCUUAAUGAUAAUGUUGUGGUAGAGAUGUGUUACUGUAAAUCUAAUUUUCUUUGCCUUUAUGGAACUUAGGAAAUCUGUACUUGCUAGUUAAUGGAGAAUCACCUUCAUUUUUUACAUGUUUUCUGCUUUCGGCUUUUUCAUUUUCUUUUUAUUAUCAGCGCAUUAAAAAAUGUUGGACUCACCAACGCCUGUUUGCUCUGCAAUUUGGUUUAUCAAGCCCAAGUAGCUGAAAAUUAGAGUUUUUUUUCCUUACUCGCCAACACAUCAUCAUAAUGAAAACAUGGUGGAAACAUGGGGUGGCUUUACUUUAUCUAUAAAAUAACCACUGUGAGCUGUCAAAAGCUUGAGCUUCUCAUCCAAGCUUUCCACACAACCAGGAUAUUGUAACUUACUCUCCUCCCCCUGUGCUUUCCAUAUCCACCAGGCGAAGGAAAGCUUAUUUUAAAUGAUCUUCCUUCACUUCAAAGUAUGGGUAAACUUUUACACAACUUUAAUUAGAACCUGCCGUCUAAUUCGCAUUCUCAUUUAAUGAGAUGUGUACUGUCAACAUCUAUUAUUACAGAUUAAAUCAUUGAAUGAUAGAACAUGCCUAAUGGGAAUAGGUCCGAGUCUCUUUAUUGUCGAGAUAAGGAUUGAGUUGGUAAAGAAACAAUUAUUGUAUUUUGCAUUAGGCAUGUUGCAGAAGAUUGGACACAAAUUGAUUGUUUCAUUUUUCAAGUUUGAGGGCAGUGUCCUUGUACAACUUGAUAACUAUUUGAGUUGCAUUUGCUCCUGUCAAUAUUUUUGAACCUUUGUUGCUUUUAAGGCUGGAGGUUCGCACAUGGGGACUGAGUUCAACAAUCAAGCGGGAAACGCAAUGCAAAUUGAUAGAGCAUCUUCGUGGAUGUCAGGCCCACCUGAAAGCUCGAUAAUGACACAUAUUUCAGGACCACCCACAUCGGUGCCUGGCCAGAUGGGCCUGGGCAGUCAGCCUAGUCGCACUGCAGGAGUAAAUAUUUCGUUACAAAAAAGUUUUACCAUAUUCCAGGCUUUUAUUAAUGGUAUCAAUUUCUUUUCACUGACUUCUAUUUCCCUUCUGUUUAUGGUCUAGUUGACGCCUGAGAUGGAGAAAGCACUGCUUCAGCAGGUCAUGAGCCUCACACCAGAACAGAUUAAUCUCCUCCCUCCUGAGCAGCGGAACCAAGUGCUUCAGCUACAGCAAAUGCUACGCCAAUGAAAUUAAUCGGUUAUUUCUUUGAAUUGACAGUGACAGUUCUUACAGUAUUUUAUAAGGUCAUCUCAGAUAACGAUUGCUUGCAAGUGAAGACAUCAUACAGGAACUGAAGCAUUUGAGGAUAGUUAAUAGUACCAGUUUUGGCUGUGAUAAUUGUAUUGUUUUUCUUUCACAGUUGAAAUCAUCCACAUAUGGCAGUGUUUGUAUUCUUCCUAUUUCCAGUCUUUGGAUAUUUUAUUCAUGUAGCACCGCUUGAUAGGGAGCUAAAUAUCUAUACAGAUUAUUAAAUUCAAGCUUCAAAAAGGUGGGUUGAUUUCUUUUUAAAUCUUCAAAACUUAUAGUCGUAUCGUCGAUCGUUUAAGAUUAUCCCAUGCUUUUUCCUCUUCAGGACAACAAUUUAACAGCCAAAUUUUAUUAUCAUAGUGAAGGCCUUAUAUCAAUAAUUUGUAAUCACCUGAACUUUUAAACCUGCUCCCCUAUUUUAUUACAAUUUAAAAGCUAUUUGCGCUGACAGAAAAAACCUUUCAUCAAUUACAUUUUCUAACAUCCUUGGUCGAUUGCUCAUCAAGGUAAGACAUGCAUGAUAGCUGCUUUACAAUCAAUGGAAUUUAUCGUAUGGCAGGGAAAAAACAAUCUCAUCCCUUUUCCUAUUCUUUUUAAAAAUUCAUCCCCUUCCUCUCUAAUAGGCUACAAUAGCUUAUCCUGGAAAAAAGAAGCCUCCUCGUUAUGGUGUACCAGUUGAAUGCUUCACCAGAUGGUUGGUUUGGACAGAAAUAAUCAAUAUUGUUGUCCCAGAUUAUGAAAAGCAGAUUGCAGAUCAUUGCCAAGCGCCCAGAGCACAGUCAAGCACAGUUCAACUGCCGUAAUUGAAGAGUGCUUCUGAUGAAUUCUAACAACAUGCAAGCACACCUUAGUAAGCCAUCCUUUGAUUGGCACAAAAUUGUGUAAAUCCCAAUACAAGCAGGAGAAGAAUAAGCUCAGCCAACUAAUGUCCAUGAGAAUCAUCCACUGCUGUAAGUAAAACUAAUGUCAGAAAUUUGGGGGCAAAAGGAUAUGUGGAUCAAGAAGCAUUUCAUUUAUUCAACAAAAAAUGAUGCUUCAAAUUCCAAAAAGAACAAAAAAAAUCCUAUUUUAGACAAGUGACAUUUAAGUGUUUAUAAUUAUAAUCCCCCAGGAAUAUAGAUAAUUUAUUAUGAUUGUCUGCAAGCUAAAUCAUUUUAAUUGACAAACUUCUUUUGUGAAUAAAUAUCAAAAGCACAGCAAAUGAUGUGUAAGACAAUAAUGUGAAAAUCACGUUCAAGCUGCUGCCAGAAAAUGGUAAAAUAGCAGAAAACAUUAUGAUUACCUUUAUCAGACAUGUUCAACGAAAAAAUGCCAUACUAGUUGCUUCAGAAAUUCAGUGACUGGUCAACCAUUUAUGUCAUAGGAUGAUCAUCAUUUUGGAAGCCUGAAAAUUCAACAUCUCCUUCGGAUUCCCAAUCAAUCUCAUUCUCAAGUUUGCCCUCACCGUCAUCAUCAUCAACAUCAUCAUCAGACUCUUCCCCAUCAGCUCCAAUGAAUGAAGGUUCAUCCUCACUCUGUCCAUCCAUAGGAAAAAAAUAUAUAUAUAUUUCAAAUUAAAGGAAAUAUCCUUCAUAACAAUAGAAGUAAUAUUAGAUGUCUAGAAAUUACACAGGAAACAACUAUAUAUGGGGAAAAAAAUUCACAAUGUUAUAAUGAUGACCAAGUAACAAAAUGCAAAGAAAAAUAUCUUACUUGUGUGAAAUCUGAGAGAUUAUUUAACCGGCCAUGUUCCUUUGGUUCUGAGGUCCAAUUAUUCUCAUCUUCUUCUUCUGGAGAAAAGCCCUGUAGCAGAUGAUCAAGAAAAAGAACAUCAGUUUUAAUACAAAUGACGGCGGUGGUGGUAGAAAUGAUGAGUUAAAACAAACAGAAUUUCAUAACAAAAUAUCACUGAUUGAAGCAUCUACACAUAUAAAAUAUGAGAAAAUAUCGCCACCUAUAAGACCUACCUAUCGCCUCCCACUCCUCCCCCUCAUAUUAACUUAUAAAGGAGCGUACAACGACAGUGCUUGUAUGAAAACAAUUUAAAAAAAGGCAUGCUGCCAUUGUGCGCACAUAAACUUGUGCAUUUGACUGCAAAUACAGCAUGUAGGAUCAAUUCAUACCACAUCUAUAAUGCAUAUAAAAGUGAGAACAAGGAGGAAGACCAUUAAGAUGCACAAAGAAGGAUAUAAUUAAAUUAAUAAUGACAAACUACCCUCUAUUUUGAUUGGCUAAAAAUUAAAAUAAGGAAUUAUUAUUUUUGAAAAAUCUUUAAUUUGAUUGACUAUAUUAGUUUCCUACUUAAAUCUUAAAUACACUUAAAUAAUUCCCUGACUUAUGGUUCAAUGAACUAUAUUACUAAUUUACAUGGUUAAAAAGGAAUUAAUAUAUCUAUAUAAUAUAACUAUAAAAAAAAACACGUACACGUACGUGUCUAUUAUACACCAACAACACAUGCAUAUAUUUUUGAAAAUAUAUGCUUGCAAUUUCUAAAUAACGGAAACAGCACUUACAAUUUCUUUCUUCAUUUCCUCUAUGGUUCUUUCCAAUUCAGAUAUGUGCUGACUAAGAGCCUGCAUAAAUAAUGUAAUAUAUAAGAUAUCUACAAGUAAAAGAAGGCCAUAGUCAUAAGAUACAGGCUGAUAUGUACAAAAAGUAAACGCAGAAUUAUGUCCCUUUUUGUUCAACUUUAUGUCCUUUCUCUUUUUAUGUUUAACCUCUUCUCAAUCAGCUCUAGCAAAAGCCUAUAUCUAGCAUCUAAAUGGCUGAAAGCAAUCUUAAAAAACCAAAAGUAAGGUCAAAAUCCAAUUGACUAGUGAUCAAUGAUACACUGAUGCAGGAUCCUGCAGCCAAGGUUCCCUCCAGUCUGAAACUCACUGUUGGUCUAAAGAUCCCCAGCAGUUGAUAUUUUGGAGGAUUAUGGAGGUAUUGCUGGUCUAAGAUUGGCAAUAUUGUCAUUGGCUUUCAAUUGAUGAGUUGGUCGCCACCGCUCAGUCAUUUGGAGAGUGUGGAAUCGGCUCCAAUUUACAGUACUGAUAAGGAUUUUCUACAUGGGAACAUUUACGCAAUUUUUUAUUUUUUAUUUUUUUUUAUUUUUUUUUUAUUUUUUUGUAUAUCAGAACUAGCAGAUUAUGUAAAGAGGGAUAAGAAAGGAUAAGGAAGAUUGAGUUAAGUAAGUUUUCUUCCUCGUACUUCUUAUCAAAGAGGGGGAUGAUCUGCAAGCACAUUUAUCCAUGUAACCACAGUGAUGGAUCCAGGAUUUCUUUUUAAGAGGGGGCAAACUUAGUAGUAUAAUAACUUAGUAGUAUAAUAUAUAUAUAUAUAUAUAUAUAUAUAUAUAGCAAAAAUCAGGAUAGAGGAGAAAACCUCAUGGCGUUGCAUGGCCACAGAUCGCUUCAGAGCUUUUGCCUUUGUCAAAAGAUUUCUUGGCCUCAAGUUAAUGGGUCGGCGAUAAUUCUUGCCACGAUAGUAAAUUAGAGCAAAUCCUUUGGGCACUCUUUCUAUUGCCACCAGAAUACCACCACUCUCAUAUUCCAACAACCUAGCUGUAUCUUCAACAAAUGCAAGAGUCUUUUGUUUGGAUAUUAACUUCACAAGUUCUCUAUGCUUCCAGUGCAAAUGCAUAUUCUCGAUGACACCAUCAAAAACACCACGAAUGCCUGUUUAUCAUUAAAUGCACAUUGUCAGAAUUUAAGACCUCUUGAAUUUCACUCUAUGGCUAAAGAAGAAAAUAUCACUCACCAAGAGGCAAGUAUGCCUUCAUUCUUAAGCCAACUCUACGGAACAUUGCUCUUUCCUCAUCAGUUAUUGUUUCUUGGUCGUAAUCAGGACCAGAAGGAAGCAUAGAGGCUUCUAUCUUCGAUAAAAGUCGUUCUGCUCUAAGCUUUUUGGCUUGGGCCUGUCCAGGCAAUCAAACAUCAACCAAGUUACUUUAUGGGCCCUACCAAAGGCCUGAAAUAAGCCCCAAUACUGUUAUGUCAAAUGAUGACUGUUGAGUAGAUAAGAAUUACUGCAAUGUCAUAGCUGUUAGUUGCAAAUGAAAGGAUUUUACUGUUGCGCCAGACAGUAGCCCUUUUAAAUAUUAAAAAAUUAUCCCCUUCAGAACUUAAAAGGGAAAGGUAUAAGUACCCUACGUAGAACAAAUCUUUCCCUAUGAGACUUUCUGACUGGAGAAAGGAAUGUUACGUACGCUUUAAAAAUCUCUUUGCAGAGAAUCUCUUCCCCCCACCCUCUCACACUAACUCCAAUCCUUGUGCAAUUAAUAGUCAAUUCUGGAAGGAAAGCCAGUAAAUACCUUCUCACCCACCUUUCGAACCAAUUAAAAAAAAUAUUGUUUUCCUUAUAAAAAGGGCCUUUAUGUGCAGUGCUUUAGUGGCAGAAAUACAAAGUACAGUUUUGUUUUCAAACAGAAAGGAAAAGAAGAAGAAGAAGCUUACAACAGCUAAUUUAUGUUCAAUUCGUUUGACAACUCUAGCCCUUUUCGAUCUAGCUGCAUCUUCAAUCAUCUUUUCACGUUCCUCAGCAGAUAUAGUUUUGCCCCACCUGGCUUGAGCCUCAUAAAACUCGGCCAAGGUGCCUGCAAGUGCCUUUCCUUGACCUUCCUCAGAUAAUGCUGUCUCCACUCCUCUGCUUCUUACCUUCUCUUCAACAUCUUGAAUCUGUUUGGUUAAUUCCUGUCUCUCUGCUAAAGCAGCAGCGACACUUGUUGGCAGAAAAUCCUUGCCACGGUAUAUUACAAUGUAAUACUUGUUCCUGAGCAGUAAGAUACCGCCUGUUAACAUCUGCAAAAACAUAAGAAAUUUUAGCAUCAUAUUGAAAUAAUGGUUAGUCUGCAUGAGUAAUAUCUUCUUCAGGCAUUUGUUAUGAGGAAAGCACUAUACAAGAUAAAGAAACCCAGUGGAAAAUUUCACAGAAAACCAAAUAAAAAAUUGUAACAGAAAUGACAUCGGAAUUUCACCAUACAAGCAACAGCUUGCACAAGAUACAAUCAAGACAGUUUAUUUGGGAGAAAAACAACAUCAACAAAAAAUGGCCAGCGAAAUACAAGAAAAAUAAUGCUUUGAGAUAAAAAAUGCAACAAACCUUCAGCUCAUCAGCCAUUAGUUUAUUAUUUGUAUUCUGGAUACCACGUUUAACAGCAAUCUUUGCAACUAGGCUUUUCUCCCAAAUCUUACGUAUUGCAGCUGCCAACCCUUGGUGGUUUCUGUUUCUCCCUAUAAAACAAGUUGCAAAACAGAUUAAGGGCAAUGAAUUGACAGUGAUAAUGAAGAUUUAACAUAAAAUGAGCUAUACCAAGUGCAAAAUGACAAGGAAGAGUUUUAGCAAGUUUUCGCAAAUUAGUCAUCUCAGCAUUCGUAAGUCUUGACCGCAUUCCAGUAGGAAGAAGCCUAAAAGGUGUUUUGUAACCAGGAAUUUUUGGAGGAAGCAAGUCAGCAUCCACUGGAAGUAUCCCUGUGCCCCACCACUCUUCAAAUCGAGGACCAAGACUAUCUAGUAAGCUGUUGAAUUCAGCUUCCUCCUCAGUCAUAUUCUCAGCACUGUUCAUUCUUCCAAUAGCCAGUUCCCUUUUCUUUACGGUCGAACUUACACCAUCAUGAUUCCUCAGGGUUUCAGUAUCAGGAGAAGAAACAUCUGGAAUGAAAAGUGCAUCUCCUUCUUUAUCAACAGAUUGGGGUUUAGAUGGAGGCCCUUCAUAGUUACUUCCACGGUACACCAUCAUGACACUUCCAGCCCUCCAUAUAACUAAACCUCCAGUUCGACGCUGGCCAUUACUACAAACAGUUAGUUUACACAUGCCAAAUCCUUAUCAUCUAUAUGAUGAGGUUAUUUUUAGUAAUUCUAAUGAAAUAUAAUGCAAUUUAAUCAAAUGCAUUUAUGGCAUCAAUUAGCUUAAACAUCUAUACCUAUCCCAAUAUAGGAAUACAAUAACGGCAAGUAGAGAUUGGCUACCAAGGUAAAUACUAUCUGCCAACUACUGUAAAAGCACAUAGAAUAUAGAAUCAACAAUGCAAAAUAUAGUCUAAUCAAUUUAAAUGAAAAUUAACCAAAAGCAGCCAACCUCAGUGAUCUCGUGGGCAGUUUUCAUAUCAUGGGCGAGAACCUCAUGAAAUUUAAGCCUAACCAACUCCUGCUUCCUCCAUUUAUCAUGAAUCUUCUCCAAUACAUCCUUCGUGAGUCCAGCUUUGGGCACACUAAUUCUCUCUCUUACAAACAUGCCCAUUUUCCUUAGCCUUCUCAACUCCUCAUCCUCAAUAGUUAAUUCUGCCAAGGUUGGAGCUUUAACAGUCCUUUUUCUUUCCCUCCCUCCCUCUCCUCCUCUCUCCUCUCUCUCGAUUUCCUUUCUCUGCCAUGGUAAAACCAAAUCGUCACUCUCCUCAUCGUCCCUAUUGCUAAAUAUAGUAUCCGGCCGGACCCACUCUCGCUGCAAUAAAUCUGCCAAUCUCUCAUCUCCAGUUACUUCCGCCUUAUCUCCACGGUCAAUUCCCUUAUCCUCCUCUCCAUCAUCAUCUUCAUCGUCUGAUCCUAACCCCAAAUUUCUCAACCGAAGCACGAUUCUUUCUAUCGCAUUUUGACCUUUGCCCUCGGGCGAAAACUGGGUCUUGUCUUGACCGUUGGAUCGAGCGACUUGUCUGGGAGCGGGAGCGGGAGCAGGACUGGGAGGGCCCCAUUUGGAGAGCCAAGGAGAAUUCAAGGAGGGAAUUGGGCUUUUGGGAUUAGGGUAUUUGUUGGUUCGAAGUGAAGAAGAAAAAGAAAAGGGCUUUUUGAGAGAGUGAAAUGAGGGUUUUGAAGUAGAAGAGAAGAGGGAGUGAGAAGUGAGUGGCAGCGAGUUUCUUAGUGGCAAUUCGGUUAAUUUGGCUGUUGUAAUGGCCAUUUGGAUGAACUUCAAUGGAUUCUGGUUGAGCUAGGAGGCGAAUAAUGAUUUAUACUCUUUCAUCAGUGAGGUUGUUUGGAUUCUGAGAAAUUUUUUGGACGAAAGAAAGGAAUUGAGAGCUUCAGAGAGGAAGAAGAUAAGAUGUUUUUAUGUUCCUAAAAUGAGAUAUUUUAACUUUCUUUUAGGUAACCUGCAUGGGUUGAUGACGUGGCAUACAAUUCGGAAGGAGGGGUUCACAUGGCUGCUGACCUGGCACCGGAUGCUGACUCGCACAUAAUAAUUGCUCGUACAACAAUUAUAGAUUUGAUUUAAAUUCAUAACAGUUAAUAGCUGUGAACAAUUACUAAUAAUUUUUCAUUAAUGCUUUCUUUGUUCGUUUAGUUUGAUUUUUUUUUAAAAUUAUAUAUAUAUAAAAAAAGAAAUUUCCUGUUUCAUUAAUGAUUUUUUAAAUAGUUCUUGCAAAGGAUUAGCUUUGGAAGAUUAGAGUCCCUCUCAUGGUAUAGAUAAUGAGUAACGUUGAAGGCUAUAGUAAAACUAUAAUAGAGUACCAUACACUCAGAACAAAAAAAAAAAUUAUAAAAAAAAAAAAAAAAAUAUAAAGUCGUAACACUUUUUAGAAAAUCCUUAGUUAAUUAUAUGAAAAAUUUAAUCAAACAGACCAAAUGUUAACCCUUAAUUAAUUACCAAACAUAAAAAAAUAUUUAUACAUAAAUGUUUUACUAAAUAAUUUAAAAUAAAAUGAACUUCACAUUUAUUUCAAACAUUAGGUCAUGAAUGUCUGGACCUUCGUCCAUCUAGUAGUAUCAUACAAAACAAAGCACAAGCUAAUCUCAGUAAUUGGACAGUGACAACAUCUUAUUCUUAUCAGUCCUUAGUUACAUCAUUUGCAUAUACAAAUAAAUAUUCAAACAAAUGCUAAUCAAUAAUCAUCAUUAUACAUCUUCUGAUCUUCACAUGCAGAAAAUGCACCCUUCCUAAACCAUUCACUCUCUCUGUCUCUAUCUUUUUUAUCUAUCUAUCAAAUAAUAAGUAUCAUGAGAUAUGAAGACCAGUUUUCUGCAUCUGCUGCUAAAUGAGCUAAAAAGCCACAAGCAAAUCACACAGCAAAAAAGAGGGGUUAGAAUAAUGCCUACAGAGUGGAAAACCCAUGUACCUAUUAAAUCAUGUGAGGAUCUUUGUACAAGUAACGUGAAUCUCCAACGAGGAUAAUUUCCUUUGAGGUUAAGACAGUGAACAUACUCAAAUUCCAGAAGGUCUUCUGCUAAAGGAAGUUGCUGAGCUAAAAAGUUCCUGGCCAAGCUCCUUUAUUUUGUUAAGCAAAAGCAUUUGCUCGGUCUCGAGCUGUAUCAUGUAGUCUUCUUGCAUGUCCUCUAAGCUUUCCAUAUCACUCAAAGCUGUUGAGAGUCCUUCAAGAUCACCAUUCUCGAUUAAAGAGUGAAAUUUAAUCAUCAUCUCUCUCAUCUGACCAAAUCCAUUAUCGAAAACUUUAAUAUUAGAUUGAGUACAGUUGAAGUUGAUUAAAACAGAACAUAAAUAAAUUAUCAUAAAUUAUGAUGAAUCCUAUAAAAGAUAAAUGUUGAAAUAUUCUUUUUCCUCCCAACAAACUCUUGAGGUCCCAAAUUCACCUGGACGGUAUUUAUUGGAAACCAACCGUGAUUCUAAACAAGUCACAAAAGGAAAACCUUAUAGAAUAACAAUUUAAGCUUAAAUAGGAACAGACCAUGGCAAUUGUUUGUCAGAAGCUGAUAAAAAAUAUUAGUGAAGUUGGAAAGUCAUCUCACAUCUUAAAGGCUUGAGAACCUCAUGCUAAAUCACCAACUCCUAGAGGAUGAUAAAAGAGUUACUUUGCUUAUUUUUUAUAAACUUUAAUCUGAACACGCUUCAGAGCUUGAAUUGUCUAAUUAAUGCAGUAAAUUAUUACAAAUCAAGACAUUUUGUUUCACAUCCUCUCAAUUUGCAAUAUAUUAGAGAUUAUGACGUAUAUAAAAAACCAAUCCUGAAAUUUUUGGACAAAACUAGCUUUUUCAUAUGCUAUGUAGCUAUCAGAAAUAAAAAUAACUAGAAUUUUAUUACAAAGGUUGAAGUAAUGCAUGGCCUAGAUGAGACGGGGAAAAAGAAAAUAAAAAGAAACGUGAGCUUUGCAUUCUCACCUGGCUAGAUAACUGAGGUGAUCUAGAUAAAGAAGCUUCAGAAUCCAAACUGGAUCUCUUUUGCAUUUCUGGAAUUUUUCUAGUAAUUUGAAUAUGGAUCUCUCCCCUUUUCACUCCUUGCAGUGGUAUCCACUUGUCAGACAUCUGGUUAGGUGGCAAUCUCUGAUAUUCUACAACACAAUCACCUAUACUUGAUGUGGGAAGCAAGGCAUUGUGGUCUUUCACAUGUAACACUAAGGGACUGCCAUCAUCAGGGAACUCCAGCGUCUGAUUCCACUUGGGAUUCAAAGUUUUGUAUACAACCUGAAAGAAAUCCAUGGUACUACAGGUAAGUGAUUAUGCAGCGCAAGACCAAAUAAAAACAGCAAGCAGAUAGAUAGCAUAUAUCGUUUUCAUUUUAUCACAGAGAAAAGGGCAAUAAUAGUUACAGGGUAUUAAUAGUAAAUAUGAAAUAUUCUAGACAUGCCAAUUAUUACCAAAAUAUGACAAAUGUUACACAAAAAUCUCAAAACUGAGGUGAAAUAAGCUAGACCCUGACUCGUCAAACAAACAAAGGAUAGAAAAUUACAGAAACUUGUAACUUUCAAGUUUCAUUCUGCAAAUAGAACCUUGCUAUUGUUUUAAAAAAUACAUUCAUAAGAUAGUUACUGUCUUUUUGAUGAAAAGCAAAGGAUCUGAAAAUUCUAGCAAGAAAUAUCAAUAUUUCAAUUAUGAAGGAGUUGUCCACCUUUGUUCUCUUCUUCAAGUCUCCAUAUUGCACUCUCACAUAAGGAUCGCUUGUCCCUCUGAGAUCAGCAGCAACAAGGUCCCUUGCUUCGAUAAGAACAAUUUCAAUCCAACCGUUGCUUGAGCCUGUAGUUGAACCCUAAAAGUCCAAGGAAGAAGAAAAUGAAAUAAUAUAUCAGAUUAGGAACCCACAAGCUAAAAGAUUAUGAGCUGCCAAUGAUAGAGAUUUAUUAGAAAUAGCCAAGCUCUAAUCUCAUAAGUUUACAUGCUAUGGAAAAGGUGGCUCUGUCCUACAGGUUGAAAUCUGAUAAAAAUUGGGAAAGUUGGCAAACCAUUAAAAUUUGAUUCUCCCAAAUUACAUGCAAAAACAACCUUAAGACAAAGUGAACAAAUUGGUGCAUUCAUGCGUGCUUUGAAUCUUAAAUAAAUUAUUUUGAUAGGGUGAAUCUACAUGAAUUUUUUUAAUGCCAUAAAGUACUGAAAAUGCCUUGUAGUUGGAGAUUUGGAGGUAAUCAAGGCAUACCUUUGAGCCAUCAUUGUCAUCUCUUACUGCUUCUAUUUGAAGCCUCAGUUCUCCUGAAUUCACUUUUUCAAGGGGAACCCACACAUCCCUGAUUGAACCUUCAACCAGUCCCUCCAAGUUUACUCGUGCACUGCCAAUGUUGUCAUCUCCAAAGAUAUCUUCAUUAUAGCAUCUAAUCCUAAGGUAUUCGCCUCCUUCAAUCUCAUCAAAUUCAAACUUCUGAUUCCAUAAAGGAUUAGAAGCAUGUGCAGUCCUUGUUCUCUGGAAAACCUGAAAGUAAUUUCAUCAAGUACUUAGAUACUUUACACAGAUUUCAGUAUUAUUUAAGUAUUAAAACCUUGGUUUAGCAUGGCACAUCGUUCUGUGGAGAAAGAGAAACCUGCCUUUCCAUAUUGCAGUUUAACAUAUGGGUCACACUUUCCAGAUUUUUCUUUUGUGGUAAGAUCCCUUCCCUCCAUAACAACUACAUUAAUCUUUCUCCCUGUCCUUGAAAAAAGAUUUGAUAUGCUAUCCACUGACUGCCGAGAGCUAGUCCGCAACUUGUUGAAGCUAUGUGAACCGUCAGAGAAUUGCCAUUCUUUCAAGACAAGCUUUACCGUUAACUGAAAAAUGCAAACAGACAAUAGAUAUUCCUUCUAUCAAUGCACCAUUUAGUGAAAGAAAUUAAUGAGUAUUCUAGCAUCAACUUUAUGAUCAGAAAUAUGAGCAGUAAGCAAUGUAAUAUUAUUUAGAUUUGGAAUUAGAAAUUGGCUAAAAAAUAAUGGGACCCAGGACAAGUUUACAGUAGUAGCAUGGCAUGAUCUAGUCCUCCUAUUUCAUUAAAAGAUUAGAGCAACGAAUAUUUCAUUAAUUUACAACUAAAAUAGGCAGUUAGUAAAAAGAACUAUAGUUGACACAUCAACUAAGACCUGACGUAAUGCUAAUCGAGGCUUCAACAUUUCACUGUAAUGGCUAGAAAGGGAGAAAUUUCAGCAAACAUCAUUGUGCAGAACACGCACAGACUACAGAUUAUUUUCAUUUGAGCAUAGUGACAGAGUCUAGGAGCAGGACAAUUAUUCACCAUUGAUGGUCUCUAAUUAAAUAUAUGAUCUGUGAUAAGCAUACAUCUUUUACGCCAUAAAUACAAGAUAUGUCAUCCUACACACAAAUCUCUUUUCUAACCAAGGGAGUAGACUUAAUAAUAGAAGUUAAACUCGUUGGAGUUUGAAAGACCAAAUAAAAGCACCAAAUAAUAUUCCAUUAUGAUAACAAGAAAAGAAAUAUAAGCAAUAAAUUUUUGCAUGUACCUCUCCUGAGUUAACCCCCUCAAAUGGUACAGUCAUCUCCACAUCUUUUCCACAAAACUCGGCAUGCUCAGCAAUUACACCUGUGUUGGGUCCUACUGCCCAAAACAUUGUUGAAUCAUCUGCAACAUACUUCACCUGCUAGCAAUUCCAAAAAUUAAAUAUCUAUGCAACAACCAAUGGUAAAUUAACUGAUAUGCACAGAAUUCUUUUUUGAAAGUAAAUCCAGAUGUUUAGAUGAACAAAUUUCACAGAUAUUAGCUGAUUGCAUAGUAUAGAUAUCAAUUUAGUAAUGCCUCAGUUACAAAUUUCAGUCGUGCUUUUGGUUUCUUGUGAAAAGAAAAUUUCCUUGCUUGGAAAUGUGCAAUAUGUAGAUAUGUGCGUCAUCCCUUAUAUAUCAUAAGAUUCUUAUUUGAUGGUUUAACCCAUAAACUUAAACUUCUUAAGUUUGUUUAAUGUUAGUAAGAGACAAAUGAAUCUCAUUAUAGAGGGAGGAAAACAGUAUCUUUGCAUUAGAAAGAUACAUUUUCAGUCUACCAAAAAGUUUGAUAUGAAUAGUGCUUUGAUUCAUAUAGCAACAGAAACAGUUAUAUGGCCAGCCCCAAUUAUAGGCAUGACAAAAAGACCAUACCUACUAGCAUGCUUCAGAAAAGAUGGCCAUGACAUGUGGCUCUAUGAUGUUAAGACAUAAUUAGCAUUAUUUUUUAGAGUACCUUUAUUUCACAACUCGCAAGAUAGUCAAACUUCACACUGGAUGGACUGGAAUUGUAAAGAUGAAAUCGAAGAAUUCCAGUUUCUUCAUGUAAAACCAUAUUAAAUGUUGAAUCCCAUCUUGGACCUGAGCCCGAUCUCACAUUUGUUCUCCUUGUUAACUGUUCAAGUUCAACCUCCACAAAAGUUUGCAAAUCUCUAUCAUCAAAAUACUCUUCUAAACUACCAUUUAUAGAACAAUUUUGUUGCCUUCUUGAAGGGCUUCCUCGAAAGGCACUUCUAGAAAGGUUACUAGCAGAAAUGACUGUCACGUGAAUAACUCCGCCAACAGCCUUCUUCCUUAAAUCUACUGCUGGUAAGGAGAGACAACGGCGGCGAGGUUCAACCAUUGUCUUAACUAAGGUGUCAGUCAGAAUUUUGACCUGCAUUUAAGGAAAACAAAUAAAUGAAGGUGACAUAACAAAUAGCCUUGACAAAGGAUGUAUAGUGAGAUAAAAAUGCAGCAAUAUUUAAUGAGGUAUGUAAUAUUUUGAUGAGAAAGAGGUUGAGAUACUGAAUCAAACAGUUGCUUGUCAGUAGGUUCAAAUAGGAAUGGGCUAAGCAGCCUGAUCAGUUAACCCAAACGAAUAGGCAUGGGCUUGGGCCUAAAUAAUAGGCCUGAAAUGCAAUCCCAGACCUAAAUUUCUAAGCCCAAUCACAUUGGGAGGAGGCUCAAGCUUAGAGAAAGGUAGGGCCAGACCAAACAAGUAAAUACAUAUGACAAAUAUAUAAACUCGGUUGUAUGGUUUCUUCUAUAAGAUACAUGCAAUAUAAUAUAAAAAGGAAAAAGAUCACAAAACUCAGAAGCUUAAUCAAUCAAAGCUUCAUUUAAUAAGCUUGAGGCUUGUUUUCUAAAAUAAGUUUAUCAUUUGAGUAAUCAAAAGUAGCUUACAUGGAUUCUCUAGAAUAUUUUAGUUGAAGAAGUCUCUUCUUGGUUUUCAAAUUAAGUCAUUAAAUAAGUUGCUUGUUAUCAGGAAUUACAGUAGAUCCAUUUGUAAGUUCUUUUUUUUCUUUUACCAAUUUAUUCACAAUUAUUAUGUCCAAGCCAUUGAAGUUCUAAGAGUUAUGGACGGCUUUCUUCCAUUCUCUUUUUUUUAAGUUAGGAAAGAAUAUUCAGUUUUAUCUAUGUUUCUCAGGAAUUACAGUAGAUCAAGUAGCAAUUUUUCAAACUAAUGUUCAGUUUUAUGUCUGUCACUCAAGAAUUACAGUAGGAUCAAGUAGCAACUUUUCUAACUAAUAUUCAGUUUUACGUCUGUUAGUCAGGAAUUAAAUAGAUCAAAUAGCAACUUUUCUAGGAACAAUCUCCAUAUCGGUCAUAGGUGAACUAGUCUUACACUUACUGCUAUCCAUUUACCUCAGUUUUCUACUUUAAUCUUCCUAGCUGCAUCAAUAUUUCAAAAUCAUGUCAAAGUUUUUAAGGAACCCAGAAAAGAAGCAGGAUUUCAUAGAGAGAAUGAAACCAAGCAUAAUGGAGUUUGUGUUACAAAAUUGUAAAUAGUAGAGAAACACACCAGCCAAGAAGAAACAACAGGCAGCUCAGUGGCAGGUAGAGACUGGCUUCCUCCACUUCCAAAGGCAACUCCUAUUCUUACUUCUGGAGUUGAAACAAAUGAGUAUAGAAUUGCUCCACCAUCCAGAACAGGCAUCAAAAGAAGCUGCACAGAUUGUUGAAUAUUAAAUACCAACUAAAAGAUGCACACAGUGGGAACAUCUAAAAUUCAGAAAUAGAAUAUCCAAUCAACAACAACAAACUAAGGGCAAAACACAAUUGACAGUUCCUCUAAAUGCAAAUAAAUAUUGGAUCCCUGAUUACCCCACAACUACCAAAAAAAAAGAAGCUAAAUAGCCAUUUACAAAACAACUAUGAGAAUGAAUAAUAGUCUAAACUAUAACAAGGGAAAAAAUGUGAUGCAGAAACAAGCAAUGCAGCCAAAUAACUGGGUCAUAAACAUGAGAGAAACACAGUGAUCUAGGCAAGUUCAUUUUUCAGUCUCUAAUUUGCAAAUAAAAGUUCAUAAACAAUCAAGUAAUUAAUCCAUCAAAUGGUUAUUGAGUUGCAUGAGAGAGGAGCAAUUUCACGUACAUCACCCUUUAUAUGAAGGCUGUUAACAACAAUCCGAGCUGCUCCCAUUGGCUUGACCAGCUUAGCCAGCAACAUAAUGCUCAAGUCAGAUGUGUCCCAAUCAAAACUGAGACGCAUAAACCCCUGUUAGAAUGGGAAAAAAAAAUGCUUCGUAAACACUUAAGAUAUACUUUGCUGUUUGAAGGGCGAAAAAAAAGAUGAACAGUAAGCAUUUUAAUACAAAUUAUACUCAUAUGCAUUAUCUACACAAGGCGCUUCAGUUCUAUUUCACACAAAAGAAGUAGAGUAUUUGACAGGGCGAUGUCGAUAUUAGCCAUUGGCUGGUCUAGAGGAUCCCUGCUCGCUGAAGGGAAGAAAGAAGCACAGGAUGAUGAUGAGGGACUGUUGAACAACAGUAAUACAAAAUGCAUCCAGUGACUUCAGAUAAUAAAUGAAUUUUCCCAAGUGCUCAGACAAAGAUUUAGUUUCUUUACAGGAAAUUACUUAGAGUCUUGUGACAAAGCUGAAUAAAAGGCAGGUCAGAAGGCUAACAUACCUUAAAUCAUAGGUUACCAAUGAUAAAAACCUUUUUACAGGUCUUUGGACAAGCUAUCCAUUUUUGUACUAUUAUCAGCAAGCAGUAAAAGGGAGGCAAUUGAAAGUGCUUCUGGGAUUCAGAAUACAAGAAUUUUUGGCAAAAUCCAUAUUUUAUACAAACCUCAGGUCUACAACCACCAUUAUCUAAAGAUAUCAACUUGACAAAUCAGAUGUUACAACUUCAUUGAAUGCGAAACAUACAGAGAUUAGAACAUUAAAACACAAGAGCAAGACAUGAAUUUGCAUAUGCCUAAAUAAACAAAAAGCCAACAGUAAAUUUCAUAGAAUGAUUUUAAACUGCAAGGUAACAAACUAAGUAUCCUAUUAUUUAUAAGAAGUUCCCUCCAAGCCAUAAUGAUAGAUCAAAAUAAAUAAAUAAAUAAAUAAAUAAAUAAAAGAGGAAAGAAAGAGAAGCGCUCUCAAUAAAAGCCUGAUGAUGGCAUAAUAUUAAAAAAUGAUAAUCCAAAAACAAACCUGGUCACCUGAAGUUGACCAACGAGUGCCAUGGAGAGCCAAGUAAGGUGGGGAGCUACCUAACGAAAGCUCCUGUAAUUCAAUUCUUUCCUACAGAAAGUGUAUUAUUUCGUAAGUUACAUACAUAUUGAUCUAACAUAUAAUUCUUAAAUGAUCCACUCAUGUCCUUCAAUGCAUGAUUAUUAAAAAAGAAGGAUAAUACUUACUAUAAAUUUCGACUUCCGCUCCUUUAAACGCUUCUGCACAAGACAACGCUUAAGAAAUUAGUUUGAUCGUACAAACAAUUAAACCAGAACUUCAUGAUUGUGUAAUUAUAUAUGCACAUGCAUUUGUCAACGUGCAUGCAAGCAUUUGUCUGUUCAUACCAAACAAAAAGGAUAAAUUCUAUUAAAAAAUGCAGGGAUAAUAAAAGAUUGGCUCAACAAUUAAAUAACAAAGAGAGAUGAAGAGUUCUCAACCCACUAAGUAGUUAGUAUUAAGGAAAAUCAAUAUAGUACACGUAUUCCUAAUUAGUUCCUAAGUAUAUUUCUAAUUAGUUUAUGAUUUGUGUUCCGAAAUAGCUAGAUAGCAUAGGAAUUCCUUAUAUAUAGACCUAUGUAAUCGAUGGAUGAGAUACAAGAAAUACAAUUACAAUAUUAUCUCUCAACAGUUAGGAAAUAGAAAGGUUAUUGAAUCAAUUGUACAAAAGAAGGCAUGAAUAGUGCACAAGUCUCCUUGCUUGGCGACUCUGAACCAAUUACAUACCAGCUUCAUUUUACAAAUGGCUGCAUUAGUUAUAAGAAAGGCUUAUCUAUAAAAAGAUCACAGAUGCUUGAGAUGACUCAGCAUUCAAACUUAAAAAUCAUUUUAAUAAGAAAUUAAUACUUUUGAAAAGAAAUUCCACCAGUUUGCAGUGUUGAAAUUUCCUAAAGGAACUUACCACAAGCUGAAAUCUAUUAACUUUGGACCCUGAAGAUAUUAAGGAAAAUUAGUUCAAAUGCCUACUUAAUAGAGCUUCCAGCUGAAUUGCAAAUUAGUCCAGUCUCUAAUGUAUUGAACUUGUAUCCUUUUUAUGGAUUUGAUUGUGUUCUGUCUUCCAUCGAAGCCCAAAUUCAGCAGCUGCCAGUUGCAAAGGCUGAUGUUAUCGAAGGAAUAUUAAACGUCAAAGAAGUUUGAUUUAGAUGAGGCAACCCAUAUAGAUGAUUGUGGGUGAAGCAGCUUGGUAAACCAGCAAUGAAAGUAGCAGAAUUUCAGAAGAAGAACUAAAAAGAGAUGGUCCAUCCAUAUACGAGGAAUAUGUCAAGGUUUACUUGUUGGAGUUGAUUUCUUUUUUGGCCAAGGAGAAUGAUGCAAGAGCAUUCAAGUUAGAUCAGGAUUCCUGAUUCAUAAAGUAUGUUAAUUGAUUAGGAAUAGUUUUUCCAUUUUUCUUUAAUUUGGCAUCCUAUUUAAUAAAGUAUGUUAAUUAGGAAUAGUUUUCAGUCUGGAAUUAGAAUGUAACUAGUAUAAAUAGGACAACAAUAAUGAGUUUAUCUCUUAUAUUUUUCUCCGUCAUUUCUGAAUUUUCAUUCUAAGGUUUUCUUUAAAACCAAUUAUUUUAUAUUGUUCGAAAAAUGAUUACCCUAUUCUAGCACUAACUGUUGAGAACUAAUUGCCCUAAAUUCUUCUGAUAUGUCAACCAUGCAGGGUUAUAGAUUUAGACAAAGCAUGAGGGCAUUUUAUAAUAAAGGAAAUUGAGAUAAAUAUGAUAUUUUCACUAAAAGAAACUGAAACUGCAUGCAACUUUGCAAUGGAAUUUGCUUCUCUUACAAUGCGAUUCUCCUUUAUCCCUUGGAAAAUGAUACACAGUCUCCUUAUUUAAUAAAUUGGACAAAACCAAUAAAUUAAUGGGAUGAAAGAAGCUAAUUUAUCCAUCCAUUUCAUGAAAAUGUACAGACAACGACAAUCAAAUAUACAUUCAACAGAAAUGUAGGAAGACAUCAAUGUUGACUUAUAUUGUAACCAAUAAUAUGGUCCAAGAAAUCUGACCUCGACAAUGGAUGAAAACCUUAUUGAAAGUUUUGGGUUUAUGUAGUUGGGCCAAACUUCCAUUAACAGUUUGUUCAGCCACUCACAGUGUUCCACUGGUGUUACUGGCUGUAUAAACAAGUGACAAAGUAAAAUAAUGAAAUCCAUAAAACAUAAAUUUAAUGUACACUCAAACUGAAAGGCAAAGACAGAAGAGUUACCGAGGUGCUCAAUACAACUCGUUUCCACUUUGUAUUCAGAUCUUCAACAAGUAUUUGACGUUGAUAACCGUAAUACUGUAGAAUAAAAAAGUAUGUCUCAGCUGACCACUAUUUAUAUCCUUACAAAUCACGACUGGUAAGACAUAGCUGAAAAUUAGAGCAGCAAUAAACCCAUGAAUGGUAGCUUAUAGAAGAUUUAAAAUUUAAUGCAGGUGUUUUAUGCAGAAAACCUCUUAAAGUAGUAAAGUGACGAAGAAAACGUAAAAAGAAAAAGGCAAAGAAAAUCACAACAACCAACCCAAAAAAUUUGGAUAAGUUAACCAAAAUAUAACUUCUGCCUUCAAACAGAAAAAAAUUGUUAAAAAAAGAACAUAUAAUGCUAAGCCUCCAAAAAUAAAUGAUUAUGUAGAUAUCUCACACCACCUAGUACUCAAACAGCUGGAAAAGUAAUCAAGAUGGACAAUGCAAUUUAGUAAAAGGCUGAUCCUUUAGAAUCUCUCUCCAGAAGCCAGAGAUAUUCAAGUAUGACAGACGAGUAGUUGCAUAUUGGCAAAUUAUGAUAUUGAUGUUUCACCAAAACAGAAAUAUGUAAUCAAAAAGCUUUUCCAAUGAAUUGAGCAAAAUUAUCCAAAGGACAAAUAAUACUUUGUAACACUGUGCUUGGUUAAAGAUAGAAUACAAAAUGUAACCAAUGAAAGAAAGAAAGAACCCCAAAACUGAGUACAACCAAGAACAAACAAAUACUAACAAAAUUUUAGGAAAAAUAAAAAAUAAAAGAUGCAAAACUUAGAAAUUAAUAAAAACGUAUAAACAUACAAAAUGUAAAGUAAAGCAGAACUUGAAAAGAAGAAGAAGAAGAAAUCAAAGGAUCCAUAUUGGACAUCUAAGGUUAGCAUGAAAAUAGAUGGUAACAGUAAAGAAAACAACUUAUAUACCACCAAUAGAGAAAUCAAUUUAGAACACACCUGAACAGUAGCCCAAACAGCAACAACAAGAGGGACCCAAUUGGAAACAGAGAAAAUCCAUUUCUCAAUAACCCAAAGAACCAAAAUCAGAGGAACUAAAAAAGGAAAAAGAGGCUUCUCUGCAUAUAGAUGAUUAAAGAAAUCCACAACCUCUUCAAUAUUUAAUCUUGCUUUCCUCAUUCUUCUUAUUCUCGCCAUUUUCGUAUCAAAAGGGACAACAAAAAUAAAUAAAUAAACUAACUAAAAAUUUGGCAUCCAUAGUUCAAUUUAUAUGUAGAAAGAGAGACAAGAGUGUGAUGUAAUUGUAAAUGUAAACUUUGCUACUUAGAGAAGAAAGUUAAACAGUUAAAUGGAAGACGAGGGAAUUUCGGGAGUUUCCAUUGUUUUGGGUCAGAGAAACGAAGAAAAGUCUUCUAGUCAAGCAGAAGACGGAGACCAUAACAGGCUAAAGUUAAGACAGCAAAAAUGGGCUCAUUAGGCUGAUAUUUAAACUGUAAUUUAAUUUGAUUAUCCAUUUCAAAAUGAUGCAAUUUGUAGUUUUGACGAAACUUUAUACAAAUUGUUAAAUUUAAACUUUUUUUUUAUCUUUCGAACCAUCGUAUUUUAUUUAUUUUAUUUCCUAUGAUCCUAUACUAUUCUAGAUGAGGAUUUGAAAAUGCCAUUGAUGAUAAUUACCAAAAUGUUGAAAUUAUUUCUACAACGAAUAUAACAAUUGUUUACUAUUAAUUUUGAAAAUUUUAUAAACAAGAUCUAAAUUGUUAAGAUUAAUUGUGUGAUUUAGUUAAGAAUUUUAUAUAUUUAAAAAUAAAUAUUAAAUAUGAAAAUUUAUUUACAAAUAAUUUUUGUUGGAAUUAAUUGGAUGGACAAAAAAUACAAAUAUUCAAAUGAAAAUAAAAUAAGAUUUAUUUAUAAUAUUAAAGUAAAAUUAUAUUAAAUUAUUCAAAUAUAGCAAUAAUAACUUCAGUACUUUUUUGAAAGGAACUUUAGUUUUUUUCUUAUUUAAAUAUAUGGGAGGAAGUUUGUCUAAUGACUUUUAUUAGCACGCGGAAUUUAAUUUGACUGGAUCUUAUUGGUAAAAGUCAGUAACUAUGAACAUUUUAUAUAACAGUAUGUUCAGUACCAGGGGCAUCAAAAAAAUAUUUAUUUAAUUGUGGGACAAAAAUAAAAUAUUUUCUUUUUCAUAUUUUUAGAUGGAAAAUUAAAUUUUCUAUUUAUCCGGGGGCCAUGGCAUGUGUCCCCCUACGUAAUGCUAAUUUUCUAUUUAUAUAAUAUGACAUUUUCCAUAGAAAAAACGUAUGACAAUCUAAUUAUGAAUGAUAAAUCUGUUACAAAUAGGAUAUAUCUAGUUCUUCAAUUUUAGUUGAAAUUAUUGUAAAAUACUUAAUAUUUAAUAAUAUCACUUAUUUAUCCUUCAAGUUUAGUCAUUUCAUUUAAAAAAUAUUAGUCAUUUCAUUUAAAAAAUAUUAUUCACUGUCAUAUAUAUUUGAGUAUUUGAUUCAUCACAUUUAAUAAUAAUAAAUAAUAUAUAUAUAUAUAUAUAUAUAUAUAUUUAUUUAUUUAUUUGAUUAAUUAAUUGUUCCAUUGUCAUUGAGGAAUGCAUGUGUUGUGUCUUAUAUGUUGGACCGACAUGGUUCGAUGUGCUUUUAUAGUUGGUUAUAAUAGAAAUAACAAUAAAUAUUUCAACCAAUAAGUAGAUAAAUAUUAGAUAAUCACUCUAAACAAUGGUUUAGUUAAUAUUUCUCCUAAAAUAAUUGGUUUCCUUAAUAUUUUAGUAUACCUAAUUCAACACGUGAAAAUAAUUGAUUAAAUCAUGUUUUAAUAUACCAAAUUGACAUAUUUAAUAUUGAUAUUUUUUAUUUGUUAGUUAAUAAUAACAUAAUUUUGGAACCGAGGAUUAAGCUUAUAUCAUUUACUUUACAGGGAUCGAAGUCGCUAACCAGCUCAAUCAACACUUUGUUAAUAAGAAACCCUCAUAUUUACUAUUUUUGUUCCAUUUCUUGUCAUCGAACAUGGUCGAAAAGGAAAUUAAAGGGACAUACACAUGAAUAUAUAAGGAAGACGGUAUAACUUUUAAAAAUAAGAAAAAAAUUUAUAUUCUUAUUUUAUACUGUUUAAAGGAAUAUAUAAAAAUAAAAAAAAAAUUAUCGAACUUGAACAUAAAUUCAUACUUUUAUAUAAUUUGUAACAUAAAAAAAUUUAUUCAAAUUUUACAUUAUUGAUUCUAGGGAAUUCCUUAUUGAUUAUAUUUAAAUCAGAACUAUACUACUUUUGUUAAAUUUUAUAAAUAAGUUUCAAAUUUAUAAGACUUAAUAUUUGACUUUAUUAAAAUAUUUAUAUUUUUAAGAAAUAAAUAUUAAAUAAUUUGUUUUAUUUGUUUGUUUGUUUGUUUGAGGAAUGCAUGCGUGUCUCAUUCUCAGAUGGUGAACCACUUUGUUUGGAUGUGCUUUUAUUGUUGGUUGGUUGGAAUUGUCAGAAGUGAUGGCUACUUGGAAAUUCCCCAACCCAAAAUGCCCCACAUUGUUCUCUUCUGGUCAAACUAUAAUUAAAAGUAAAUUCUCAAUUCAUCAACUAAAAAUAAAAAUAGUCUUAUUUCUUAUUUCUAUUUUUGUAUUCACAGACGUUAUGAACAAUUAAUUAAUAUAAUUUAAAUAUUUUCAUAGUAAUUUUUUAAUAUAGUCCUACGCGCUUGUAUUGAUAAAAUGCAAAGUUCAUGAUUUUUUAUCAAUUUUUUGAAAUCUUCAGAAAUUUACAUUUAAUUGUUUUGUGGAAAAAUAAACUCUGUAGAUAUUAAAAGGCUAUUUGGAAUGCAAUUAAGUAGCUUAAAUAUCAUCAUUAAUAAAAAAAAAAUGAUAAAAUCGAUAAUGUCUCGCUUAUUUUUCCUUCUAAAAUACUGGGAUAUUGAAAGCAUUAAUGAAAUUUAUUAAUUUAAUAGAUUUUUAGGCUAAAUCAUUAAAAAAAAUACUCUAAACAUUGCGGGUAAUUUUAAUUGUACCUUAAAUCUAACUUUCUUCUCUUAGUACUCCGAACUUCAAUUUUAGUUACAAUAACACCCUAAUUUCAAAUUGUAUCCAAUUUAAUGGAUAAAAUAUUAUUUGUGGGACUUAGUUUAAACUUUUUCCUCAAACUAUACUCAUCACUUACCACCACUGCUUAUAAAUAAAUAUUUUUAUUUAUUUAUAUAAAUAUUAAAAUAAAAAACUAAUCUAUUAUUUCACUUGGCUUUUAUGAAUUUAAAUUUCUAACCAAUAUUAGUUAAGACAUUAUUAAACAGUGGAUUUUUAGUUAACCUGAUCAUAAGAGAUCCAAGAAAAAUAAUAUUUUAUUUAUUAAAUUGGAUACAAUUAAAAAUUAGAGUGCUAUUGUAACUAAAAUUAAAAUUCAGAAUACUAGAAGAAGGAAGAUGAAUUUAGAACACAAUUAAAAUUACCAGCAAAGUUUGGGGUAUGUUUAUAAUUUGGCCAAUUUUUGACUUUUUUUUUCUCAAAUAAAUAAAGUAAUCUAAUAAACCAGGAAAUGUCUGAAUUUUAUCAGUCAAAUCUAUUAUUUAAAUUAUGAAAUACUUUAUUUAAUUUAUCUUUUCAUAUUUUAUAAUAAGAUAAUAGUGUAAUUAAAUUUUUAUUGAAAAAUUUUUUAAUACGCUGAAUAUAAUAUAUAUUCUUUUUUUUUUUUGGCAUAUGAUGAGAUUUUCUUUUCCAAAGCCGUAUUUUGUGUUUGGUAUGAAUUAAUGGGUUAUAAAUAGAGAUGACAAUAUUACCUCAGUGUCGGACACUCUAUUCUAUUCGAUCCAGUUUCGGUGAAUUUCAGCGAUGAAUAAAAGAAUUCAGAUAGUAUUUUUACUAUCUAUAUGGUGUUCAAGUUCAAGCCUUUGAAUACCCACAAGCCAUUAUAAUACUAAUUAUUUUAAAAAUAUAUAUAUAUAUAAAGAUAAUCUAUAAUCAAUAGAUAUUAUAUCUGGGGCAUUGGUGCAGCCAUACAUCUUCCUUUUAUGUUGUUUAGAGAUGAGUGUAGGGUAUAGUAAGUGUCUGUAAAUUUGGGUACAAAAACUUUUCACUUGUUUUGUUUUUGGAGAAUUUUGCAGAAAUUGAUGUUGUGAAAUCUCCCAAAGUCCUAAGCAUAAAACAUGAAUAAAUUCACUAUUGGAAGAAGCAACUUGGAACCUAGUCCAUUUUGCUGGAUAUCUUUGACCCUAAAAGACAAACAAACAGGACUCCAAUUCACCCACUCGACACCAUACACAAAUCCAAACUUUAAAAUUAUAGGUUUUUAGGUAUUUCUUGCUUAUUAUAAAUAAACUUACGCAAUUAAAAGUUUGGAUGAAAAUGUUCAUGAAAAUAAUAUUUUGUAUUUUAUUUUUUAUGAUAACUGUGUCUUUUGUACGAUUAUCGUCUCAACUCAGCUGACAUGAUUGUUAAAACUAAUUAGUGUAGACUUACACAUGACGCAUCGUAGUUAAUUGAGAAAUCCACUGACAACUAAAAGAAGAAACUUAAUCCUAAUGGCAGACCGAAUGUUGCUAAGUUUUAAAAUUUAAUUACAUUAAGGCCUUUUUUUCCUGAAAUGCUAGUGGGUUUCAUUAUCAGUAGUAACACGUUAUUUGUAGGAGUUCACACUAAAUAUUUUAACAACUAUGAAAGUACAAGGAGGCUGCAAUUCUGAUACAAAUGAUUGCGUUCGGUAAUAGUUUUUUAAGCAGUCAAAACGCUAAACGCUACUUAAAAUGUUAUUUAGUAAUAUAGCGUUUAAACUAGCUUUUAGAAAUUAGGGUAAUUUUUUAUCAAAAGUUAACUCAUAUAACGUUUAAUUUUUAGCGUUUCAUGAAAAGUUAUAGUUAACAGCUGAAUACUACUAAAAUAGCUAACGCUUACUAAAAUAAUUAAUUUUAUUGAACAAAUCCAAAAUUAAGAUACAAGAUAUCCAUUGAUUAAAUUAAAAAAAUACCCAAAAUUAUAAAAAAAAUGUCAAAUUAAUGACUUUUUUUUGCUGUAAUUUAAUCUUUUUUUCUAAAGAUUUUUUAGACAAUCAUCUCAUAUUGAGUUAAAUUAUAGUUUAUACAAAAUAUAAAUAAAGUGGAAUUCAAUUGAAUUUCUACUCAUAAUUUGCUCAAAAUUUGGAAACAUUACAAUUAGAAAGAACUAGAUGAAGGCCCGUGCAUUGCGCGGAUAACUUUGUUGCAAUUCAAUUAUUCUCACAUAAUUACAAGAAGCUUUUAUAUCUUUUAAAUGAUAAGAUUUAUCAUUUCAAGUCUUUAUCUAUAAAUGUUAGUAAUUUUAUUUUUUAAUUUCUCACCCAAUUACCAAUCAAAGAAGUAGUAUCUGAAUUUAAUUUUGCUUACUCAAAAAUGGUUGUCAUUACAAAGGUGAAUUAGAUUAGUCAUUACACUUGUUGAUGUUGAAGAGGUUAAGUAAAAUCCUUCAAAAUAUGUAUUUUGAUAGGCUGUUAUACUGUAAUUCACAUGAAACAUCAUAACAAAUUGAGAUAAUAUUAACUAAAAAGAGGAGUAAUUAAUGAUUGACAUACCCAAUAAUAGAAGCAAGUAAAAUACAAGAAAAUUUCUUUAACCAAAGAAGAUUUGCAUGAACUUCUCCAACAAAAUUAACAAAUCAAUUCAAAUGUAUUACGAGGAAGAUUAAGAAGUCUUAAUUAUUUAUCUAAAUAUAUUUUAUUUAAAAAAUUGAAAAAGAAAUUUAAAAAAUUUCGAAGGCCCUAAUUUUUAGGCUUUAAUAUUAUAUAUUUAAAAAAUGUCUAAAUUGAUUAUCUAUAUAGUGUGGGUUAUAGUGUGGAAAUUAAAGGAUACCGAUUUUAUAAUCCCAUUUCUAAAAAAUUGCUAAUAAGUCGGGAUGUAGUAUUUGAUGAGAAAAGUGCAUGAAAUUAGAAUGAGAUGUAACAUGAUGUAAGUUUUCAUCAAGAUAAUAGUGAAUUUGUUCUUGAACAAGUUGAAGAUGGAAGUGGUAAUGACAUUUCAGAUUCUUCACCAAAUUCCUCACCACCUAAUACUACUGCUUCUAGCCCCUCUAGCUCAACAUCAUUCUCAACCUCAAGCACACCUCCCAGAAAAUGGAGAUCUCUACAGGAGAUUCAUGAACAACUCGAUCCAUGUCGGCUUGCAGUUGUUGAAAAGCCUAACAUUUUUUAAGAAGCCGUAAAUAGCGACAAAUGGCGAAGUACAAUAAAUGAGGAAAUGAAAGCAUUAGAAAAGAAUGAGACAUGGGAGUUGGUUGAUUUGCAUUUGGAAAAGAAAUAUUAGGGCUGAAGUGCGUGUACAAGUUGAAAUAUAAACCUGAUGGCUCAGUCCAAAGGUACAAAGUUCGGUUAGUUGCACAUGAUUAUAUGCAGUGUGAAGGCAUUGAUUUCAAAGAAAUGUUUUCUUCGGUAGCAAGUUUUAACACCAUUCCAACUGUUUUAUCUAUUCUUGUAUAUUAUAAAUGAAAAUUUUUUCAAUUUGAUGUCAAAUCAGCCUUUUUAAAUGGUUUUUUGGAAGAAGAGAUUUCUGUAGAACAACCUAAAGGUUAUGAAAUUGAUGGUGAAGAAGGAAAAGGUUUAUAGUUGAAGAAAGCACUCUACGGCCUCAAGCAAGGUCCAAGUGCCUGGUAUGAAAGAAUUGAAGCAUUUUUACAAAAAAGGAUUUAAAAGGAGUGCAAGUAAGCCUAUUUUGUAUGUCAAGAGAAGAGGAGACAGUGAGGUAUUGAUCGUUUGUCUCUAUGUGGAUGACUUAAUUUAUACUGAAAAUAGUAUUGACUUAAUCAAUGAUUUCAAGAAAAUCAUAGUAGCUGAAUUUGAUAUGAAUGAUUUGGGCAAUGAGUUAUUUUUUGGGUCUAGAAGUGAAAUAAUGUUAUGCUGAAAUUUUUAUUUCAUAAGAGAAAUAUGUGAAAGAUCUUCUAGCAAAAUUCAAUGUGAACGAUUGUAAUGUUAUCAUGACCCCUGUGACCACCAAUCAUAAAUAUUGCUUGGAUGAUGGAGAAGAGAAGGCAAAUUCACAAGUGUAUCGAAGUUUGGUAGGUAGUCUGCUCUAUUUGACAUAUAGCCGUCCUGACAUUUUUCAAGCUACCAGUCUCCUAUCACGGUUUAUGCAAAGUCCAAAUGUAAUUCAUUUUGGUGUUGCAAAAAGGGUGUUAAGAUAUUUAAAAGGAAUCCGCUCCCAUGGUUUUUCUAUUUGACAUUAAAAAUCUUAAGUUGUAUGGAUUUUCUGAUAGUGAUUGGACAGUAUCCUCAGAUGAUCGCAAAAGUACUAUAAAUUAUUUAUUUAUGCUAGGGUCAAGUGCCCUAUCCUGGACUUCAAAGAAGCAGCUGCCAUCCAUAGCUUUAUCAUCUUCCAAAGCUGAAUAUAUGGCUGUUGCUUCAGCACCAUGCCAAGCAAUUUGGCUAAGAAGAAUUUUGCAAGAUAUGAGAAUUGAGUAGAAAGGAGCAACAGCAAUUUUUUGUAUAAUCAGUUCACUGGUUUGAUGGCGAAAAAUCCAGUUCAGCACCACAGAACAAGACGCAUUGACAUUCGGCAUCAUUUGUAAGGGAGCAAGUUGCAGAAGAAAAUUAUAGAUCCGUUUACGAAGUCACUUCCACAUUUUAUAUUUAGAGUCCUAUCUAUUUGUUAACAUGGAUUAGUUGGUGUCCUUAUAAUUUGGGAGUAGUUGAGAUUGAACGAGAUAACUGAUGAAUGAAAUGCAACAGAAUGUUCCAAUUUUUCCACUUUUGUAUCUAUCGCUUGUCUCAUAUUUUUUUUUUCUUUUUAUUUUAGCUUUUAUAUUUGUAAACACUGCUCAGUUUUAACAAAACGGAGUAGAAGAAGAACUAAAGAAAAAGAAGAAGAAGAAGAAGAAGAAGAAAAAUUUAAAAGAGGAGCGAAAUAGAAAGAAGAGAGUUGGAGAGAGAAUUAAUGAAGUUUGUUAUUCAAUCUGUAUAAACGUGACAACUGUAAGGUUAGUAACAACAUUUAUACAGCUGUCAAUAGGCUAACUGAUUGCAAUAGAAUUCUUUACAGUUGUGCCAUUAGAUACCUUUUUUAUAUACUGCAGAAUUACUUUUUUACUCUUCAUAUUUUUACUCUUCAUAUUUUUACUUCAACACUUCAAUUUUUAUUCCACAUGCACAGUGUCACCAAUAUCUACUGCAAGACCGUAACAUUCUAACAAAGUCAUAAACGACUAGUUAGUAAUACAUUAUAAAGUAAACAAAACUAUUGUAAAACCUCUAUAUUUUCACAACCAGUCACAAACUUUGCCAAACAAUCAUUUCAAUCAUUUUAUCUAUUUUCAGUGCACAAAUGCUAUCAGGGGUAAGCAUUCCGUCAAUUUAUAAAUAUGUAUUAAUUAUCGCUUAUAAAAUUUAUGUAUUUUUCGUGUUGAAUAAAUUAAAAUUAUAAUGUAUGUUUAUAAAUUUAUUAUAUCACAAAAAAUGAUGCUUUUAUGGAUUUUAAAUUUGUAUUCAUAAAUGUUGAAAAAGUUUGAUAUCAGUGCUCUUUGUGUAGGACGAAAAGAGAUAAAAAAGUCAAGCAUGAUAAAUUAAAUCAUUUGUUAAUUUAUAAAAAUCAAAACAAGUUCAAGGGUUAAAUUGAUAUAAAGGUGAAAUCUGAUCUUUUUAAUUAUUUUAUACAAAUUCAAAGGCUAAAUUGGCCCAAAAGAUCAAAUUUAACUUUUUUUAUCCUGCCAAAUAAGUUCAGGGGCUAAAUUAGCCUUUAUUCCAAUAUAAUAUUUAUAAUAGUAUUAAAUAGGUUGAGGUGGUGUUUUAUCUCCUUAAUAUUUAGCGUUUAAUAAUAAUUAGUUGAAUUUUUUAAAAUUAUUGUUAUCAACUAUUAUCAACUAUUCUUACUUUAAACAUCCGAUAGAACAAUUAAUAUUGCUAUGAACUUUAUGUAUUUUCUAUGGAAUUGUUUAUACUUAAACUCAAACCUCAUUGAAGUAUUUUUAAGAUGCUCGUAUCAAAUCCAUGAACAAAAGAAAUAAUUAAUAAAUAACUAAAAUUCAUCUUGCGGCAUUCUUAAUUUUACUUAAAUUCAAUAGAUCAACUAAAUAUCUAUUGAAUAGUUAAAAAAUAUGAACAUUAUUGUUCCAAAAUUUAACCACAUGUGAAACUAGUAUUUUUCAUAUAGAAGUGAAAGAUAAAACGGUGAAUUUAUGCAUUUGAGCUUUAGUCACCUUCUCUUCUGUAAACAUUUUAUUAAUUUCAAAAGGGUUUGAGUGACCACAUUUUUUUUAUGUGAGGAUGAUAUGAAAUCCCAUUGCUAAAGAAGAUGGAACCACAAAUUAACUUUCUAUUUAUUUACUACUGAAAAAAUUCAACUUUAUAAAUUCUAAAUCAUUAAAAAAAAUUCUAAAUUUUACUAAUAACUUUAAUUGUACCGUAAAUUCAAUUUUCUUCUCACAUUACCCUGAACUUAAAUUUUACUUAUAAUACCACUCUAAUUUCAAGUUGUAUCGAAUAUUAAAAUAAAAAAUAAUAUUUUAUUCAUUGAAUUGGGUACAAUUUAAUAAAUAAAAUAUUAUUUUCAAAUUGUACUCAAUAUUAAAAUAAAAAAUAAAUAUAUUCAUCUUAAAAUAAAAUACUCUUUAUUUAUUUAUAUAAUAAUAGCAACAAAUAAUGAUUCUCUAAAAUUAAAAUUAUACCGUAAUAAAUAAAACCUAUUUUUACAAGAGAUCUAUCUUAAGUAUAAUUUCAAUAAACUCUAACUAAAAUUCCAUGCUUAAAAAAUGGCAAAACAAAAAUUUAAACUAAUCUUUUAUGCUUAUAACUAACUAAAACUUUUUAUUUUUCUUGGUUUUUUAUGAAUUUAAAAAAAAAAAACUUCUAACCAAUACGUGUGAGGCUGUUGUUAGGAUUCUCUAUACCAUAAUUAGGCAUAAAAACCUGACUCAUCUGGUAAUAAAACGGGCCUUAACAAAACUAAUAAUCUUCACACCAAUUCAGUUUCGCGAUUGGCUUCAUUAGGAUCAUGUUGUGCUCUCUUCACCUGAGAAUCAUCAAGAUAAUUCUGGUAGGUAUAACAGCCAAAACCCCAAAAAGCCAGAAGCAAUGCAAUUGCCCUCAGACCAUUUAUCUUGUCAUGGAAAACCAAGACAGCAGCAAUAGGUGAUACAGCCAAGGCAAGAGUACUUAUAACAUUGGAGAACAGGGAAGAUACCAAUAAAAUCAAUCCUACAACACCAACAGAACAGACCUGCCAACUCACUGCCGUCCAAAGCAAUGUCAUAAUGUAAGACACUCUUCCGUGACCAAAACCCUCCAUUUCUCCAUGCAAAGCCUUCCAUUCCCCACUAGCAAAAAGACCAAUAAUGGAAACACAACUGGCAACAAAUGAUGUGUAAAUUUGCAUUUCUAAUACCACAGAAAAUGUUUCCUUUUUAAUGAUCUUUUGGAAGGACAAUUGCAUAAGUGAAAGCAAAAGAGAGUACAUUGCUGAAGCACCAAGAGUACAAAGGAAUCCGAUGAUGUAUUUCCACUUAGAGACUCCUGACGGCCCAUCUGAGUCAUCAUUAACUGCAAUAAUGGCCGCAGAAAAUGAAAGAACAACUACAGAGUUAAGGAUUAAAGAAGUGAACUUCUGAGAAUUGAUGAAGUAUGAGAAAACAGCGUUGAAAGCCAAUUGGGAUGCACAAAUAAGAGAAUAAGUAGAGGCAGACAGAUACAACAACCCCUUAGAAUACAGCAUGUUAUCACCAGCUAUAAGUGCUCCAAGAAAGAAGUAGAUCAAAGCAAGAGUUCUGAUGGAUGGCGAGGUGGAAGAGGUUGAAGGCUUUUGAGAGCGAGAAAGUAAAAAGAGAGGGAUGUAAAGAAUUGGGAAGGCAACAGUCUGAACAAGGGUUGCCAUCCAUGUACUGUUUCCACCUUCGUCAUAAUAAAAUCUACCCAGAAGAACAGCAGCAGAUUGGCCUACAACAAGGAAGAAAAUGUUGAUUGCCACCAACAGCCACCACUGCCAGUGCUUGAGUUUCAUCAAUGGUGAUUUUGCACUAGUAUUUUCAUCCUUAUCCGUAAUCGUUCCUUGAUUAUCUGUAAUCAGGGGGAAUCAGGCAAACAAUUUACAGAAAAACAAAAAUUACUGGAACAAGUAUAUACCUAUUAUAAUACAAACAUGCAUGAGAAAGAAAACCGAUACUAGAUUUACAUAUAUGAAUUCAGCCAAAUAAGGUGUAUAAUAAUACUUCAAAUGCUUUAUAUUUCAAAUCAUCAGAAAUUCUCUUGAUCUUGAAAAUCAUAUGGAACUUAUGAAGCAUAAAAUAUUAUCUUUGGAUGAGACUGUGUGACAAAACUUUAUUGGGAGAUUAAAUUAAUUAUCCGUAAAACAAAUCCACACAAAAUAUUUAAUCAGAUUCAUAAGAGCAAUGAGAAAAUAUAAAUUUGACAUAAUGGAUUAGCAAAAAGGAGACAAAGGGAGGAAAAGGAAUGGGUACGGAAGGAUAUAUAAGCAAAGAAACUAUACCCUUGACAGAAAGCUCUUCUUUCGCAACUGAGGCUGAGACCUUUCCUAUAAACUCUGCCAUCUACUCUUCUCGAGCCGUAGAUGCUACUGCCGUUGUUGAAUGAAAGAAGGAAAGAAAUAUCUGCAGCGAGAAUGGAGUGGCUAUUUUUGGGGUAGUAGUGGGGUUUUAAUAGGAUUUGACAAGAGGAAGGAGACUACGUAAUUGAUGAUGAGAAACUAACAAGCUUAGCUAGUUCAUUCACAUUUUCUAUAUGACACAAGUACAGGGCACUCAUACACAGCUCCCACCGAAUGGAAAAACUUAUCCAACUAGAUUCAUGACUCCAUCUAUAGAUUAAACUAGUAAAAUCUAAAUUUUUUAUAGAAAGUAUCUGUAAUCAUAUACUUAAAAAAAAAUUAAAAACACUUUUUAAAGAAUCUUAGGGUUCGAUAAUUUGGUUUACAUAGACCAUGGAUUUGAUUUAGGCAAAUUUUUCCCACCUGAACCAUUUAGUUACCUGAUUACAUUGAGGUGGGACCAUUGCACAAUUACGGAGGAGUCAAUGGGUUUGCCAAUUUUUAUUAACUAAAUACUUUUACUCAAAAAUAAUAACUUAAAAAACUAUAUAGAAGUAGUAUAUAAAUUAAAACUUGGCAACAGUUUUGCCAAUUUUAUAUAUAAAUAUAUCCACACACGUUGUUAUUUAACAAUGCAUGUUGUAUGUGUUAUUUCUUAUUACAGAUACUCAUUAUUUGAUUUAUAAUUUUUUAUUAUUUAUCAAGAAUGAUGUUCAUCACUGUUUUAAUUUCUAGUUAAAAAUAAUUAAAUAUAAUAAUUAAUAAAAUUAUUCAAAAUAUAUAAUUACAUAAAAUAUUUACUACAGUUCAAUUUUCUCCCCGUAUUCUUUUUUGCAAAAUUUGAAUAAAAAUAUUCAUAAAUCUAAAAAUUGCAAAAACGGUUAAUAACAAUUUGUAAAAUCUAAUUUUAUUAUACAAUAAAUAAAUACUACUAACAAUUAUCAUUUUAUUCCAUAAGCAAUGCUAAUUAGCAUUGCCAAAACGAGUUGUCCGGCCCGGCUCGCACUGGCUCGAUCCUAAAACAGGCCGAGCCAAAAAAGCUAGCUAAAAACGGGCCUCUAAUAUUCAAGCCCAACACAACGCAUGCGCACCAGCAGAUGGGCACGGACAUGUCCAUUUUGAGAGUCUAUCUAUUUUUUUUUUAAUUUUUAUUGGCUUUGUAUGUCCAUUUAAAGAGCCUUAACGUGGAAAAAAGAUGGAAGCAAGCUCUCUUAGUCGGUCUAUGUAAAUUUUGAAUUAUUAUUCCCCUUUUUAUUUUAAAUUUUUAUGAUAUAUACAUAUAUAUUGUUCUAAAACGAGCCCCAGACUGAUCCGGCCCGGCCUGGGCGGGCUUUGAUAAACAACGGAUCGGAUAAGAAAAGCUUAUUUUAAAAAUGGACCUCAAUUUUCUUGUCCACAUCCGAACAAAUUAUGGGUGAGCAUGCGGGUUAAGCUCGUUUUGACAAUGGCAUAACAUGCCAUGACUAGGGGUAGAAGUAUGCAAACUAUAACCGAACUGAAUCGAAAAUCAAAUCGACUUUUUGAUUUUGUUCGUUAAGUUAUUCAAGGGAGGUUUGGUUAAGCCAGUUUGAACUAAAUUUGUUUUCUAGUUCGAAUCGAUUUCAUAGAAAUUCAUCUGUUAGACUUAAAUCGAAUCGAUAUGGCAAAAGGUGACCAAAAUCGGUUCAACUGAUUGGUUCAAUUCAGAUUCAAAUAUUGAUUCAUUUGGUCUGGCAUCCAAAAAUUUCGAUUUGCAUUUUUUGCGAUUGGUUCGAUUCGAAUAAAGCCAAUCAUUUACUCACCCCUAACUAGGGUGAGUAUUCGGUCGAUUGAAUCGGACCAAAUUAAAUUGUUACAGUUUGAUCUGACCAAAUAAAUCUCAUGAUGAGCAAACCUAGACGGAAGAGUGUGAAAUUGGUUCAGCAUCAAACCGAAUCAGGCCGAUUUGGGUUAUUCAAUUUUUCUGAACCAAAUAAUCUAUUUUGAGCCUAAAUAUUAAUUCGGCUAGUUAUGCAAAUGACCAAACCAAAAGUCAUUUGGUUAUCACUAUUGAAACUGAAUGGUAAUUGGACUCUUAAAAUAUAGACCGAACCAUCGAAAUGAAUUGACUUUGAUUAAUUUUCUCCAUUUAAUUUCUCAAAUAUGAGUGUACUUUGAUUAUGAAGCAUCAAAUUUCAAUUGGUGGAUGAUUCUAAUUGUUUGAGAAGCCUUUAUUGUUUAAUUAAUAUUCCCUCCGUCUCAAAACGAUAGUUUAUCUUUCCUUUUUGAUUUAUCUCAAAAUAUAGUUCACUUUCCUUUUUUGUAUGAUAGUUAAUCUUUCAAUUGUCUAUUAUACUCUUAUUAAAUUUUGUCUUAUUUUCAAUAUGCCUCAUUAAUUCUUAGUUAUUAUUCUAAUAUAAUAUUUACUCGUGUAUUCUUUAAGAUGACAUAAUAAGAAUUGUACGAAUAAAAUUGUCUUUUAACAGUAUUUGUUAAUCUUUGUGAAAAUAGAAAGUGAAUUAUGGUUUUAGGACAGAGGGAUUAUAUAGUUUGCACAUUAUGGUAAAGUUCUGGAUUUCGGCAACCGCAUGCAGCCGCGGAGAUGCUAACUCCAGUUAACCUCCAGUGAGGACAAGUCAACAGUUUUGUUUCGAAUAUCUGGACACGUAAAACACAAUUUGCUUUUCGAUUCUUGCUCUUGUAGUUCUUAAACACAAUAAUCGACAAAUUUGAAUACAGUAGUUUGUAGUUAAAUUGCACAAUUAUGCAAAUGAUGAGCAACUGAAAUUCAUCCUUCAUAUUUAUAGACUAUUUGUAGUUAAAUUGCACAAUAUGCCCAAUACUGUUUUGAGAAGAUUCCUCGAUAUAAUUUAAUAUUUAAUAUGAAUAACUUGUUGUAAUUCCUACCUUUUAUAGAAGACUGUCCUUGUUUCAGGGUUUUUGGCGUGGCAAUGUCCCAGCUCUACUCAUGUUUAUGCCGUACACAGCUAUACAAUUUACUGUUCUACACAGAUUGAAAACUUUUGCAGCAGGAUCUUCAAAGUCAGGUAUUUUUAUGAACUUACAAAUUUUCUCCAGAUAGUUUCAGCAUGGAUAUUCCCCCAAGUCGAUAUUGACUGUUUUGUAACAUGAAGAAAAUAUGUUGCAAUUUUCAGAUGUCUAUAGUGGGAAUGCAAAGCAUUAACAUUAAAUAUUGUGCCACAACUCUCUUUGAAAUCUAUUUUCUGCCACAUUAUUCUGUCAUUCAUGUUGGCGACGUCGGAUCAGAAAUAUUCUAUGAAUUUUGUGAUUCCUUGCUGAAUAUGAAACCUAGGCUUUCCUUGAACUUUGUGCAGAAGAGGUGAUAUGUUGUAUCAUUUUUUGUGUUUGUCAUACCGGUCUGUCUAAAAUUUACUGUUGUAUCCUGUUUUCCUGCUCUAGAAUUCUGAGAGUUCAUACUGUGGAUGGGAAAAGGAAUAGUAUAGUGUAUUCAAACAUUAUAUGACUGUUGUUCUUCACUUUCUUAUUUUUAAUGGCUAUUGCUUUGCUAUGAUGCAGAGAAUCACAUUCAGUUGAGUCCUUACCUCUCCUAUUUCAGUGGGGCAUUAGCAGGGUGUGCGGCCACAGUUGGAUCAUACCCAUUUGAUCUUCUUAGAACCAUAUUGCGUCACAGGGUGAACCUAAGGUAUAUGUAUACGAUAUGCAAUAUGCGAUAAUAUGUCCAAUUUGCUUCAAAACUCGAUGUUUCUGUAAGGUCCUAUGUGAGGUGCAUUUAACAUAAUUAUUUCUGCUUUGGGUUUCGAUAUUUCUUGCACUUAUGGAGAAAUGUCAACCAUGAUUGAAAGGUUCUUGUCUAUGGUUGAAUUCUUAAUGUGUCAGAUAGUUCCUCGCAAUAGUUUUUAUGCUUUUUGAGCAUACAUUAUAACUUCAAACAUGCUCUACACCAGUAUGCCAGUAGGAACUCAAGCAAAUUAUUACAUCCUGUCUUGCUCUUUUUGUGACAAUUCAAACAAAUUAUAUAUUUAUCACGCAGCAAUUCUAUUUUUCUUUAUUUUAUAAUGUUUUUCUCUUGCUUUAUGUUCAAGCGUUUGUAAAAUUACAUUAUAUUUACUCUUUAGGCUUUAAAUAUGAACCGAGUGACCAGACACCGUGCAUACAAUGUUUCUCUCUUUAGGCUUUAGACAUCAGUUUCUUCCACAUUUGUGCAGCAAUCCACUAAAUUAUAUGCUAAUGUUUACAUUUGAACGCGCAUGUUUCUCUAUUUUUCAGUGAGCAAUCCCAUUUCUGUUAAUAGCUUGGUUUGCUUGAGUCUCAGUUUGUCAAGGGUACUUAAGGGUUGAAUUGCACUUCGAUAAAUCUUAAUGAGCAAUGGAUAUCUGUUGACCAAAUGAUGAAAACCUCAUUUUGAAGCUUGAGCAAUGGGCUAUGCUGGCUACUUGGGUCUUUUGUUGUGUUCUAAUGUUGCUGCGAGUAUAUAUUUUAACAUUUAUUUUUGCCACAGUUCACCCAUUCAGUUUCAAAUACCCAUUGACAUUGUUCUCUCUGUUGCAAAGUCACUUUUUCUGAAGCUACCUAAUUUUGAACUUUUCUUUUUCCACAACCUAUUACUUGACUAAUGUGUGUCCACAUUUAGGUGUAUCCAACAAUGAGAUCUGCAUUUGUUGAUGUCAUCAGAACUCGUGGCUUCAGAGGUUUAUAUUCUGGUUUAUCAACAACACUGGUUGAGAUCAUUCCUUACGCCGGCCUUCAAUUCGGCACCUGCGAUACGUUUAAACGAUGGGCGAUGGUACCAUUUAAUCAAAUAUUAUUCUAAGCAUCCAUAGCGUCUUUUGUGAUUAGGAAACAGAAGAAAUUGAAUAUCAUGUUUCUGAUAGGGUGAUGCUGUAACAUAAUAUAGACCUUCCAAAAGGUGCAGAUAUGCUCUUUCUGAAUCACUUGCUGUUGACUCAUCUUACACUCUUAUGAAGUUUUAAGGGUUGAAAUUUUUUCCUUUUCCCAUUAUAGUAGAAAUUGAGAAUAUAUUCAAUUGUGUUGGAAGUUUUCACUCUUUAUCAAUUACUGCUAUAUUUCUGGAGAGACACCCUUUCAUUUCUAUAAAAGGUAGCCAGACAAGUAAUUGUGCUAGAGAAGUUGUUCCAUUCUUGUUAAUUUGAAUGGCUUACCAUAAAUAUUCAGAUUUAGAUUUAUUUGUAGUCAAAUUUUUAAGCAUUGCGAUAAAUCUAGUUCUUGUGUUGUGGAGAAGAACCCUGUCUGAAGAAACUUCUAAAAGGUGGUCUAUAAUUGUCGAUUUGUUGCAUGAAUUCCUGCGCACGUGUUUUGGUGGAUGUUUCUUUCGGCUUAUACACGCUGAGUUGUUUUGGAUUGUGAUGCAUUUUAACAAUUAUGGUAAAUAAGUUUUUUGAAGUAAAUAUUUUAACAAUUAUUAUUUUAAUAGUCAAUUACGUAAUUUUGUAUAUAUAAAUAAUUGAAAUAACAACUAUGAUACUUAUAGGUAUCUAAUCUAUAAUUAACUAUUUAAAAUGAAAAGUAUGAUUAUGAUAAAAUUAUUUUGAAAUAUUAAAACUUUUUAAAUGAAUUUAGCUAUUAAUGGUUGAAGUCUGAUCUCUUACAUAUUACAAAUCAAAUAUCAGUAUAAAUUAAAAUUAAAAUAAACAAAUUUUUACAAAUUGACAUAAGUGAAAAAAUUACCAAAAAUAGGAGAAUAAAACCUUUUGAAUUUAUAAAUUGAUUGAUUAAAAGAAGUUCAAGCCAUACUAUGUAAAUCUUAACAACCUAACAAAAUUUUUUCACUUGAAAGAUUUCUUAGUAUAUCACAACAAAUCAUUUUUGCCAAAGUGGAUUCUAUAUCAAUUCCAAAAUAUAUAGUUUUAAACUUGAAAUAAAAGAUUAAUUUUAAUAUAAUAUUAAUAUAUGAAAAUUAAUUAUUGUAUUGGAAUAUAUAUUAAAAAAGAAAAAGAAAAAAAGAAAAGCGAAGAGUGUGAACGUGCCUGGCACGUGGAUCAAAUGGCGCGUGCCUUUCCAUACCAACAAGAAGAGAAAUCUAUGCUUCCUAGAAACCAACCUUUAAUUUUCCCGCCAAAUACGCCGCCACUGCCCAACGGAUUGAAAUUUCUGGUAAGAUGUGGCACGUGGACCCACAUAUACAACUGCUUUUCCUAUAACCACUCAAAUUUCGCCACGUCAUCAUCCGAUGCUAAUAAGCUUGCAAAAAGCUCCUAGACAUCCCUUAUUCUUACCCAAAUGACCAAAAUGCCCCUAUAUCAACCCAUUAACACAUCCACUAAUCACUCUAUUUUAGCUUAAUUGAAAAGUACAUCUAAAGUACCAUAAAGGAUAAUCACUUCUCAAAAAUCCUAAUUAAUUAACAUUACCAUCCUAAUUUCACUUUUUUAAUUACCUAGACACCAAUCAUCUAAUCACCUUAAAUUAAGGUGCAAGAUUUUCUCUUUUCCCAUAUCCCCUAUUUAGCCACUUUUGUGUUUGUAUGUUUUAUGUUUUUAGCCAUUCAAGAAUUAAAGAGAUACAAAAUCAAGAAAAGAAAGAGAGAAAGAAAGAAAUGAGCCCUUCUACACCUAAUAUCAACAAUAAUAACUGCCCUCCUCCUUUGAAAAUCAAUAAAGAUUCUCAUAUGAUCAAGAAAUCUUCCUCUUCCUCCAAUUCUUCGCCGCCAUCCUCCUCCUCUUCCUCCUCCGCCUCUUCCCUAACCGUGGUUGGCCCUGCCAAGUUGCCACCACAAGGUCCACAACGCCACCCGGUUAUCAUUUAUACACAUUCUCCAAAAAUCAUCCAUACAAAUCCUAAAGAUUUUAUGCAAUUGGUGCAAAAGCUUACUGGGUUAUCGCGGCCGGAGGAUGAUCAUCCGCCUCGAGUAAAGCAAGAAAAGAGUAAUUCGUCGCAGGAUGAAGAAAGUAAAAAUGUGAGAAGUAUUGGAAAUGGGAAUGAUGAUAAUGAGUCAUCAUCAGUGAUUACAGAAGAAAAUUGUGGGGGGAGCAUAGUUGAUGGACAAGUUAAUUCUUGUUUUGCUCCUCCAAUUUUUGAUCCUCCAAAUCCUUAUAUGACUAAUAUUCCGGUUUUUACGCCAAAUUCAGCUGAUUUCUUAUGCGCAAAUCAACCAUUUUUUAAUUAUACUGAUUCUCUGUUUUUCAACCCUCCUAGUGUGAGGAGCUCCAUUUCUUCUUCUUCUUCCACCUUGGAAGGGAUAAAUGAGCUCCGUGAAUACUAGCAAAAAUGAAAAAAGAUUUUUUCUGCUGGUUUUGGUUUUUGAUGCCAAUAAGAAAUUUUGAUAGGUCUUUCCUUUUUUUUUUUCUUCUUUAUUUCUUUUAAAAAGUUUUCCACCUCAGGAAUAAAUUCUUACAAAAUAAUGUUUGUUUAUUCCUGUUUCUUUAAUUAAUAAUGUCUUUUACAGGAAGAAGGAAAAAGGAAAAGGAAAAGAACAAGAAAAGUAAAAAAUUAUUUUGUUUAAUAACUUUCUCAUAAAUGUUUUGAUUACAUAGUUGAGAUUCAACAUUGUUGAGAAUGUUUGUAAGCCUUUGAUCCAUUUAACUUGUCAUGAUUAAGAAAAAAGAAGAUGAAGAAAAAAAGGUAAUUCCUUUGCUGCGUAUAUUCUGGGUUUAAAUUAAUUUCUUUCAAGUUUGGAAAUUAAAUACCAAUUACUGUUUUUUUCCAAAGGCAAAAAAGGGGAAAAAAAUGUACCGAUGAUGGCAUAAUAAGUUGGUAUAAAUAGCAUUAUUAUAUCCUAUGUCUCCGGGGAGCUUAUUUUCUGACUUGAACUCAACUCCAAGUCACAAGGAGAAUAACUUUUCAAUUACAUCAAAGUCAUCCUCCUAGAGCCUCAAGAUGUCAAAGAAAAAUUCACUUUUCUUUGAUACAAUUGAGACGAGAGAGAUGUGGAUAAUGAUGAUUUAUUAUAAAUGAUACAAAUUUUCAAAUACAUGAAAUGUAUUUGCAUAUAUAUACAAACAUUUAUGUUCUCCAACUCUCUCAGCUUUUUUCACUUUUUUCUUAUUUGUCUCAAUCUGGUUGUAAAGACAAGAACGAACAUAUAUGAUUUAUUUCACUUUUUUCUUGUACAAGUUUCUUAAAGUACGCAGAGUACAAUGUUUUCCAUAAAAUGCUCAAAUUACAUGGCAGAUAUACCUCAAAAAAUCUGCUAUACAGAGACAAGAUAACAUGCAUAUCAACACGGAAGUCAUCUUGUUCAGAGACAACAAAUCACUUCUUUUUAGUUAUUAUUACUUGUCAGUCUUGUUGAGAUUUACAUUCUGACGUUUUCGUUACUGUACAAACACUUGUGUAUUAUGUUACAUAAAAUUACAUCAUUUCUUCUUUUUGUCUUCCUUUUCUCUUUCAAGAACAACAGGAGCUGCCGGUAUGCUAAACCACCACUCUCUCAAUCUCCUCGACCAUCUUUCUGUGCUUGCUUUCCUUGGAGGCGAAUACCUUGUAAAUGCCUCCAGAAAGGUCAAUAGUACUAUGUAUUUGCUAGGUAUGAAAACUAGGAUCAAAGCCACGCAUAAAAGUGCCACUGCAAAUUUCUCGGUUGCCUGGUCAUUGCAUAAACACAUACAAGUGUUGAUACAUGCUGGAGUAAAAUGUGGAUAAAUAAAAAAGAUUGCUCGCACCAUAGUUUUCAGGAGCUUAAUGCAGAUUGAAGUAAAAAUGAGAAGAGGUAAGCCAGUGAAGUUUGCAAGGGCAAAGAAAGAGAGAUACCUGAGGGAAAAUCGACAGCAACAAGGCACGGAACUUGAGAAGGAAAACAUUUCCAUCUUGGACGAACUGUUCCACGUGAGAAAUUGCAGUCUGAACAGCCAAAAGCUGUUCCAUUGUGUUCAUUGGUGGAGGUGCUACCACCUUAAGUUUGUCAACAGGGCUUCCUUCAUUACAAAAUCUUGUAAGCACCAUAAAGAUUGCAAGAAAGAGAAGUGCCAAUCCAUAGGCAUAAGCCAACCAUCCCCUAAGAUUAACAUAUUGCAAGUCCAUUAGGAAAAAAACCCUACAAGUAUGAUGUUUGUGGGAAACAAUAACGAACUAUCUAGUACCAAGCAUCCACCUAAUUCUGUAGUUUCUCUCGUUCCAUUUCUAUAACCAUACUCUUUCUUGUUGCUCUCUUAAAAUUCAGUUAUAAUGCAUAUUAAAAAGAAAGAGAAAAUUCCAACCAUGGGUUCUUGUUUCUGAUAUACUCUAAUAGCACACCAGAGUCUAAACUUAGCAAUAUCAUUGUAAAUGCCAACCAUGACGCAAACAUAUAUACUGAAGCUGAACAAUUUCUCAUCCCAGCUUCACAGAACAAGAGACCACUAUCAUGGCUAGAAUGAAAGAAUCAAUAUUUUUAUAAGGGUACAUGCGCCCAACUUUAUCAAUUUAUCAGCGAUGAUCAGUUAUGUAAAUCUUGAUUACUUGUUUUUGGUAUAAAUAACUGUGUGUAAUUAGUGAGUUACUUUACUCGGGCAUGUACCUUGUACCUUAAGGUUAAAUAUGCAAUAGACCUAUUUGACCAAUUCAUAAAAAUCUCAGAUUUUGGGGAAGUACUUCUCUGUUCUACAUGCAGAACCAACAAACUAAACAACACUAUGCUCAUCUUGGGUAAAUAAAUCCCAAUCAAUUUGGCAGCCAUAGAAAAAAUAUAAUAAGAUUCUAACUUUUCUUUAUCUGAUAGCAAUGAUUAUUUUUGUGAAAGGCCUCUCUCUCUAGAUGAAUCUAAAGUGGUUCAAACUUAAUUGUGAAGGGAAUUUCUUAUUUUGCAUGACAAUAACACAAUUCUUGGAAUUUAGUCAUUUUUAACACCCUCAGAAAAGGCACUGACAGAUAUCCAAGUAUCCAAUCAGACAUUAAAUUAUUCGAUAAAGAUUAUUUAGCUGGAGUCAGCAAAAGACAAAAGCUUGCUACUUAAGCAUUUUCUCCACAAACCAGAAUAUGGCUGACUUUGACAAUUUGAUUGUCACAAUUCUGUAAUAUCAAAUAAAACAAAAGAAGUAUAUAGCAUGGACAAGUUUAAUCAAUGUAAUUACAAGUGCAUAAAAUGAGUCAAACAUUGAAAAACAAGGCUCGUUAAUCAAGAUUUCGGGUGGCAGUUGAAUCAAGAUUUUGCGUUUUUGAUUCAUGUAGUGUUGGAUUGUGGCAGGUUGUUAAUUGAAUUUUUCUCAGUGAAGUAGAAAUAGACUAGCAGGUACCACACUCCCUCCAGGUAUUGAGGACAAGGAUGGAGAUGAUUGCUCUCGCUGACCACUGGGUUUUUGGUUUGACAGACUUAAACAAGGACAGUGUUAUGCUGGGCUAAAUGCCUAAAACCCACCCCAAUUUGGCAUGUUUUCGUAAAAUGCUCAACAAUGUACAGAUUCCUACCAAAAACCGUAUACAAAGAGAGGUAGCACAAAAGUCACAAAAAACAACAUAUAUUGGUACAAACUCCACAACAUUAUUAUGAAACAUCGUUAAUUGGUUAAGUCACUACCAACAUCCAAUCCAGUUUGGUUUCUGUUGCAUGAGAAAGGUGGAAAUUUGAAAAGCCAGAUUUGACCUAAUUCUUGGUAAAUCCCUAAGUAAAUCAUGCACGAAUAUCGACAGCAGGAUUUACAAGACUGCAAACAAAAUAACUAAAUGAAGCACCUGGUUUAUGGGAAACUUAAUAAAAAGCCACACGCAUGUUCAAUCAUUUAACUACUUUGAUACUUCAAUAUUUUUUGAAAACUCAAAGUUUAUUAUCAUUAAAUCACCAAAAGGCCUUCCACUUUCUUUUCCCAGAUGUUCAUUACUAAUCAAUAAUGUGAACAGUAUAUGGCAUACCUCCAAAUGACAUAAGUGAAAAUCAAACAGAAAACCGAAGACUUCACAGGAUCAUCCCAAAAUGCCAAGGAAAGAAGCCACUUCCCAACUUCCAUAACAGGAUGAAGUAACUCCUGCACAUACAAUUUUAAAUAGAUUACAUGGAAAAUCAGACACUGGAAGUUGGAGGCACAGCAAUGUCUGGUGGGUAAAAGAGCAUGCAACAAGGGUCCUGCUGUUGAUACAGUUAAAAUAGUUUAAUUUGCUAAGCAACUGUAAUACAAAUAUGUGACAGCAUAAAUUCAAACAAACGAUCACAUAUAAGCCAGUAAAAGACACAAAGAUAAUUCACAGUGUCCAUCACUGUCAGGCAACAAAAAUCAUCAUGCACUUGAAGUCAACCAAAUGUUUCAUCUUCACUUAAAGAUUUAAAGUUAUCUCCAAUUACAAUAAUAAUGGCAAGUGAAGGAGCAAAACAGGAAGGCAGCAAGAUAGAAAUUCAAAGCGCAUAAAUAACAUCAUUAGUAUCACCUUCAUCACUGCCAAAUUGGUGUCAAUGCCAUCGACUUUAACCCCAUCAACUGUUUGUUGGGCUGAGACCACCUUUUUGUAGCUUUUUCUAGAUUCCUUAACUGCUCUUUCCAAUGAACUCAUCUCUCCCACAGCUAUCUCACCCACAGCAAGUCCAGCCUCACUUGGAUCACUUGAACCUGUUCCAAACACAAAUCCUAAAUUGGAAACCAUGGUCAAGGCUGAGACUGAAUACAUUCCACCCCCAGCUUUAUAAUUGCCCGUGCUUUCUGAUUCUCUUAUGGAGGACAUGCUUGCUAGAGUUUCCAGUAUCAAAUCUCCACCAGGAAGUUGAUCACAGAGAUUAAACAUGAGCAGAGUUUCACAUUGAAUGGAAUCUACAGAACCAAUUUCUUGAAUGGCUUGUAGCCUCAGAAUUCCAAGCACAGCCUUUGAAAGUAUUUCGUCCCGUUCAACUCCUGUUAUUUGAUAUUUAUUUAUGAAUCUGUGAACAUACAAAAUUUCCCGAAUAAUCGCCAACCAGUAAUCACGACGACUAUGCCCUUUAAGCUCAGGAAACUCUAUGACAACUGGUUCUGAUCUGUGAGGGAAAUACUUAAAAGGUUAACAUUAAAAAACUUUAAGCAGCCUUCAGAUGAUGAGAAUGAGACAGAAUCUAGAUUUAACAUGAAGAUAUAAAAAAUAAAUACUUAUUCCAUUGAUAGAAGAAAUAUACAUCAACUGUUCCUUACAAAGAAAUAGAUUUAUAUGAGACUGCCUUGUCAAAAAGUCGUGUACCCCAUGGUCCAGUUAACUCAGGUUUAACAACUUGUUUUAGAUCAUCUGAUAAAUCAUAUACUUUUGGCUUGUCAUAAGAUACAACACGAAGAGCUUCAAAGUACAGUGAAUGAUCUGUGAGAACUAGCCGACCUGUAUGCAAGACAGUGUAUAAAUACUGAAUUGUUGCAUUUCGAAAAAGGAAAAUUAUAACAUAAGUGCAUUAGUCACAUCAGUUUUAUAAAGAGGGACACUUGCAAAGCUGAUUGAACCAAAUGAUUCAUCUAGUGAACCUACCCGGCCAAGUAGACAUUCCUACAUGUUCAAGAACUGGUUGGGUGGUGACUGUUCCAUCCACUUCCAGAAUUUUUUCUCUUCUUGGCGAGCGAACUGCAGAAAGAAGUGAUGAAUCUGAUUGGGUCUUCAUCUUCUUUAUUGCCCUGUAGGGAAGAUUAUUCAAAAUGUAAAAACCAGAAAUAUAAUUCACGCAGAAAAACAUUUGAAAAAACUAAAUGAAACUGACACCAUAAAUCAUAUAAGCUUUAUUUGAAGAGGUAAAGUCAAUAACUGUGCAAGAACUGUGAAUUUCAAGUUCAGAUGCUACUAAAGAAACAAAAUAUUGGUCGUUAGAAUGAAUCUAGAAGGUGAACUACAUAAUAAUUUAAAAGAGAAACAUACUUCCUCAUAAAGUUCAUCUCAAGCAACUUCUCUAUUUUUUUGAUCAAAACCUCAGUCAGCUUUUCAAAGUGACAAGAUCCUGCCUAAUAUGUCAAUACUCUUAUGGAAUCUAUAGGGGGAGAAAAAAAUGAUCUAGUUUGAUGGCCAGCCAAAUUCUUCUAUGAACUAAAUCAUGCAUUUGCAUGUAGGAUUGUGAGUUAGGACACGAAUUUUCACAUUAUCCAAUUCAGCUCAAGUAUACCAAUUCAUUUUUUCUUGAAGCAUGAAUUCCAUUCAGCAAUUUGCAAUUUGCAUUUGUAAAACAGGCCUCUGCACUUGCAUUGCUCUUUCUAAUGUCUUUUAACCAUUUUGACACAUGUAUGUACACAACAGAUUACUGACACACAUUAUAAGCCCAUUUCCUUAGCCCCAGCUCUCACCCCCAUCGCCACCCAUCGCACUUUCCGUCCUAUAUAUUGAUGAAUGAAAAUUAACAGACUAAAAAAGAAUGUACUAAUAAUUAAUUUAUUAUCAUGUAUCAUUUGGCUUAAAAAAUUAGGAAAUGUAGCAACAAGGAGUAUUUGCAAAAACAAUUUCUCAUUAUUUAAUAAGAAAAUGUGGUUACCUCUCUAGUCCGCUUAGGUACUUGUCAUAGAUGGAGAAUUGAAGCCGUCCAUCAGUUGACAUAGUCAGCACCUCAAAAAGAUUUUCACUUAUAACCACAUUGGCAAUUAUCGGAAUAGCUGGAGCUAUUCGCAGGAAGGAUUCUAACCCAACCAUUAAGUCCUCAUCUACCUACAAGAAGGAGAUAGCCAUACACGUCCAUCAACAGUAAGGAGCAGCCACAACAGGGGAAUUAAGCAGAAAUUAACAACAUUCACCAUUCAAUUACUUAGAGUGAAAAAGCUAAACAUAAUUAAGUGAACGAACUCACAUUAACGAAAGGUUGGCUGGAAGCUGCUGGAGUCUCCCAAGCUAGCAUCAUGUCAUACGUCAAGCGUCGAAAUUUUCUAUCAGUUAGAUGAUCUGUUACCUGAAUGGAUACAGCCAGCGCUCUGAAGCUGCAGUAUUCCAAAAAGUUCCUUGCAUACCGGGACGGAUGCUUUAUUGAAUCAGACGCCUCCAUAUUGAAGCUUUCUUGCAGCUCAGUCGUGGAAACGCCGAGAAUUCUGCAUCAUUUUAUUUCAUUUGUUCCAUGAAGAAAUCAUAAUUAAUUAAAAAUAAGAAAAGGCAUGUCUGUUGAAAAAAGUAAUGGGAUUCUGUCAGAGAAAAAAAAAGGGAAGAACACUAUCCCACCUCAUGGUCAACUAGAUAAUUACUUGAAUUUUUUAAAAUAAGCUAAAUGAUAAAAUGUGCAAUAGAUAGAGCAAAGAUAAAAAAGAACAGAGAUGGAACAGUAAUGGCACUUACUUCGAGCAUCUACGGACAAUCAUAUUAGCAAGUGGAGAGAGCUCUGCUAUCCAAUUCCUGCUUCCAGAUGGAGAUCUUCCCAUCUCCUCAAAUUCUUCAUCAAAGGAAGUUCGCCUGCUAAGUAACCAUUUAAAAGAUCCUUCUCUUACUAGACCCUCGAGCACAGUCCUAGCUUUGCUAGCAGUUGCCAUCUCCAGUAGCUUAUUCAAAACCCAGCCAAAUCUCACUAUCUCAUCAUUAAUCCCAACUUCACCAUUUCUGUAAUUCUUGUCAUGCCCUUCAAAAUCUUAUUUAUUCCAAAUCCAGGUACAGAUUUCUCCGCAAACCUAACCCCCAAACCUUAAAUUAACUAGAACACCAAGCCAACUAACUGAAAAUGAAAAUUAAAAAACCAAACAAAUAUUAUAUUCUAUUAAUUCUCACAACAUAAAAUCCCUAUUUCAAUAAAUUUUUAUUAACUACAAUCAGCAAAAAUCGAAUUAUAUAUCUAAAAACAAAGUUACAUUUCGUACCUCAAAUCUCUUCAAUUUGAAAUAUUUGAAGAACCCCGCUUCAGAUUAAGUUGAGUUUCCUAUUCUAAAGUUACAAACCCAUCUCACUAAAUCGCAAACUUAACAACAACAAACCAACUGAAAGAGAAGCAACAAAAAGGGGAUAAGCUACAAGAACUGCUUCCAAAUGGGUUUAUUAACGAUUCUGUCUUGAUUGAGGGUUUAUCCAAAAAAUUAUACUAGGAAGGUAAAACGACAGCUUUGCUUUAAAAAUGAGAGAGAGAGAGAGAUGGCUCUGUGCAUUUGACACGCAAGAUUGAGGCGCGGUCGAUCGAUGAAGAAUCAGUUUCUGUCUCGUCACCACCUCAACUACUCGGAGACAGCAUACGAGACAACGUGUUAUAUUCUUAUUUGCUGAAAAUUGCGGUCCUUCAACUUGGAUCCGACAUGGAUAGGCGAGUUUCUUUCUUUUUUGGCAUGGAUAAGCGACUUUCUUUAAAAUAAUAUAUAAAUAAUUAAAAUUAAAUAUCAAUUAAAGAAAAUAUAUAAAUUAGUAGUGUAUAAAAGUGUGGAAAUGAAAGUAAAAGGAAAUUUCAGAAAUUUUAAAAAUGUCCAACUAAUUAAAAAAUUUAAUUUAAAAAUAUAUAAUUUAAAUAAUUACUAGAGGAGUAGGAAAAAAAUAAAAUAUUAAAUUAAAAUAACUAAUUAGAAUUUGUAUGAAAAAAAUAUAUAAUCGAUUGUAAUUUUAUUAAUAAAUUAGGAAAAAUGUAAAAAAUUAUAUUUAAAAAACUAUAUAAAUAACAUUUGAUUGUAAUUUAAAAAUUUUACAUGACUAACAAAAUAUCAACAUAUGUAAUAUUUAAUAAAAGUUAAAAAAAAUUUUGAUUGAACAGUUCAUUUACCUAUUAUACAAAUUACUUAAAUUAUUAAAAAAAUCUUCCUUUAUUCUCUUUUGAUACCUUUUUAAUUAUUUAUUUAUGUUCUAUUGUUUUUUUGUCCUGCAUUAAUUAAACUCACUUUUAUUAAUGUGCUUGCUGAAACAGUAACAAGUGAAUGGUCGUUAAGACAAGAUAGUUUUAUCAUUUAUAAAUAAGUUAUCUUUUAUUUGAACCGUGCCUUUUAAAUACUUUUUGUCACGAUCCGAUUCCAUGGGCCGGACCGGCACUAGGGCCCAGGUAAGCUUAAGGCCCCCGAGGCCCGUAGUAAGCUUGAAACAUUAGAGUCUAUUAUCUCGGUCUAAUUAAUUAAAAAAAAUAAACUUCAAUAUUUGAUUAUUUCUCGGCCCAAGUUUAUCUUCUACAGCAUUCUAUAGUUCGAGCCGAAUUUACAAUACAUCACAUUCUAAUAUGGGCUUACAGAAUUAUUUUGUCUAUGUUAAUUUACAGCUANNNNNNNNNNNNNNNNNNNNNNNNNNNNNNNNNNNNNNNNNNNNNNNNNNNNNNNNNNNNNNNNNNNNNNNNNNNNNNNNNNNNNNNNNNNNNNNNNNNNNNNNNNNNNNNNNNNNNNNNNNNNNNNNNNNNNNNNNNNNNNNNNNNNNNNNNNNNNNNNNNNNNNNNNNNNNNNNNNNNNNNNNNNNNNNNNNNNNNNNNNNNNNNNNNNNNNNNNNNNNNNNNNNNNNNNNNNNNNNNNNNNNNNNNNNNNNNNNNNNNNNNNNNNNNNNNNNNNNNNNNNNNNNNNNNNNNNNNNNNNNNNNNNNNNNNNNNNNNNNNNNNNNNNNNNNNNNNNNNNNNNNNNNNNNNNNNNNNNNNNNNNNNNNNNNNNNNNNNNNNNNNNNNNNNNNNNNNNNNNNNNNNNNNNNNNNNNNNNNNNNNNNNNNNNNNNNNNNNNNNNNNNNNNNNNNNNNNNNNNNNNNNNNNNNNNNNNNNNNNNNNNNNNNNNNNNNNNNNNNNNNNNNNNNNNNNNNNNNNNNNNNNNNNNNNNNNNNNNNNNNNNNNNNNNNNNNNNNNNNNNNNNNNNNNNNNNNNNNNNNNNNNNNNNNNNNNNNNNNNNNNNNNNNNNNNNNNNNNNNNNNNNNNNNNNNNNNNNNNNNNNNNNNNNNNNNNNNNNNNNNNNNNNNNNNNNNNNNNNNNNNNNNNNNNNNNNNNNNNNNNNNNNNNNNNNNNNNNNNNNNNNNNNNNNNNNNNNNNNNNNNNNNNNNNNNNNNNNNNNNNNNNNNNNNNNNNNNNNNNNNNNNNNNNNNNNNNNNNNNNNNNNNNNNNNNNNNNNNNNNNNNNNNNNNNNNNNNNNNNNNNNNNNNNNNNNNNNNNNNNNNNNNNNNNNNNNNNNNNNNNNNNNNNNNNNNNNNNNNNNNNNNNNNNNNNNNNNNNNNNNNNNNNNNNNNNNNNNNNNNNNNNNNNNNNNNNNNNNNNNNNNNNNNNNNNNNNNNNNNNNNNNNNNNNNNNNNNNNNNNNNNNNNNNNNNNNNNNNNNNNNNNNNNNNNNNNNNNNNNNNNNNNNNNNNNNNNNNNNNNNNNNNNNNNNNNNNNNNNNNNNNNNNNNNNNNNNNNNNNNNNNNNNNNNNNNNNNNNNNNNNNNNNNNNNNNNNNNNNNNNNNNNNNNNNNNNNNNNNNNNNNNNNNNNNNNNNNNNNNNNNNNNNNNNNNNNNNNNNNNNNNNNNNNNNNNNNNNCAAUAACAACAACGAUAAAAUAAUAAUAAUAAUAAUAAUAAUAAUAAUAAUAAUAAUAAUAAUAAUAAUAAUAAUAAUAAUAAUAAUAAUAAUAAUAAUAAUAAUAAUAAUAAUAAUAAUAAUAAUAAUAAUAAUAAUAAUAAUAAUAAUAAUAAUAAUAAUAAUAAUAAUAAUAAUAAUAAUAAUAAUAAUAAUAAUAAUAAUAAUAAUAAUAAUAAUAAUAAUAAUAGACAAUGAUAAUGAUAUGGUAGUUAAAGCACUUUAUUUAUUAUGUGUCGAAUUGUAAAAAUUAUCUAAAUAAACUUAUUUGUUAUGUUAUCAAUUAAUAUUAGUCUAAAGUUCUACCGAAAUUUCGGCAGCACCUCCCUUAAAAAUGGGACUAUCAACCUGUUUAAAUAUCCCAACAACACUAAGUAUCAUUCAAUCGAUACACACAGCCCAUCCAUCGGGCAAUUAAACAAAUCUAUUUCCCUUCCUCCAUCCAACACAUUCACAUCAAUAUUUAAUUGUUAAUAUCAAACUUUAACUUACUAUAUAACAUUAAGUAAAUGAAUAAAUAAGCAACUAAAUGAAAAAUAGCUAUUUGCUUAACCUCCAGAAGUUACUAGUUAAACUAUCUAAUAUAGACCCUUAACAAUCAUAUAAAACUAUAGCUUAUGUAUUCAAUAAUCAUUAACUAAAUUCGGAGUUUUUCGAUACCAAAAUUAUAUAUUACACAUUAACUAAUCAAUGUCAUAAAUCAUCUAUAAUCUAUACAUGUCUUUCUUUCUCCAUACCAUACUAGAACCGAAUUUCUAAUCAAACUCAUAUAUGUAUACACUUAAUAGUUCCAAUCUAAAACCAUCCAUUGUCUAAGUCUUAAUUUAUAACUUUUCCUAACAAUAUUUAUCCAAAUUCCUAACUUAGCUUACAUCGAUGUUAUACCAAUUGCUUCUUAACAAAAUUAUAUUUGUUUGAUUAUUUACCCAAAUUCAAUUUAACUAACUAAUAUUUAUUAAGUUUAUAAUUUAUACCGAAGAUAAAGAAACUGAUCUUAGAACGUACCAAUUGAGAAUCGGGCGACGAUUCCACGAUCAGCGCGAAGAGAAGAGGAUUCUGUCUCUCGGGACCUCGCCGGAGUGCCGCCGGCCGGUCACCGGACCGCCGCCGCCGACCGCCGUGCACGGUGGCCGGAAAUUCAAAUCAUCACCAAAAUUAACAAACAAUAUAUCAUUUUAUUCGUUUCGAUGAGAGGAUCAUUAAUAUGUAUUCAAAUCAAGGUGGGUACGAACUAUUUGGCCGGAAAUUGAUCGGAAAGGUUUGGUGAUACCCAUUUUGGGUUUUCCGAUUCCGGCCAUUACAGUCGACGAGGAGGCCAUCAAAUGAAAGAGGAAGAAGAGAGGAGUCAUUUGGUACUCACCUUGAGCCCUAGGCUUGCCUGAAACGGCGUGAAUCGCCGGAAAAAGGGUCUCCAAAACUUCAAGCUCUUCCCCUUCAAAAUAGACACAAUUUCAAUUCAAAUCUACGCUAUAAUCUUCUUCCUCGCGUUGAGUAGAUGUUUUUAGAGUAUUCAUUUGCCGAAUUUGGUGGCCGGAGGAAGGAGAUCGAAGAAGAGGGAGGAGGAGGAGGAGGUGGUCACGCUACCGAAGAAGGAGAAGGA